UUUCUUAAAAAUAAUAUGAAAUUCUCUUGAUCAAACACUCAAAUUUUCAUUAAAAUAAAAUAAUUUUUUUAAAAAAAUAAAAAAAUUUAUGGCCAAAGAGGCACUUAGCGCCGCAUGCAAUAUUUGGUAAAAUUUAAAUGGUACAAACGCCUACUCUUCCACUAGGCAUUAUUAAUAACAAGUUUAGCUUUCUCCUUACUCUGUUAGCUAGAUUUCAGGCAAUCAAACAGCCGAAAGAAAUUGCGAAAUUUAAAACAAAGUCAUUUAGUUCCAAAACAUUAGAUCUAAACAUAUAUUGAUUGGUACUACUAGUAGUACUAGUACAAAUACUAUUAAACAGACUAUUAUUUAACUCCAGCAUUGAGACGGUUAAAAAGUCAUAAACCGAAAAAAAGUAUUAGUAGUACAAAAUGGACAGAAAGUAAAAGCUAAGGGUGUGUUUGGUAGGUAGGAAAAUAUUAUGUUCGGUUGGUCGAUGAAAAAUAUUUUUUGAAAAAUAUUUUUUAGUAGUUGAUUGGAAAUGAAAAAAUAUUUUUUUCAAAAUAUAUUUUACUGUUUAGUUAAAAUAUAAAAAUAUAUUUUAUAAUCUUUUUUUAAAAAAAUUAAAUCCUUUUCUGGAAAAGGGAUUGGUAGGCAAGUGGGUGGUCGUGUCAGAAUAGGCAGCAAGGGUGGGGUAAGAAAGAAUUUUGAAUUUAAAAAAAAAAAAGAUUAAAAAAAUUGGCCUAGGGAAGGUGGUUGGUUGGAGUUGGGGGAUAGGGUAGCGGAGUGAGGGGAAGAAAAAAAUUAAAAAUUUUUUAAAAAUAAAUUUAUUUUUUUUGUUGAGGUUGUUGGGAGGGGGAGGGAUGGAUAAAAUAUAAAUAUUAUUUUUGGAAGAAGGGCCGAUAAGAGUAGGGGUGGGAUGAAAAUAGGGGAUAGAUUGAGAAAAAAAUUUGAAAUAUUUUUUAAAAUAAUUAAAUUUUGAGUGGGUGAGGGUGGGGGUAAGGGUAGGAGGUGGGCAGGGUGAGGGUAGGGAUGGUGUCAGGUGAUAGAGUUUUAGAGGCUGAAUAGUUAAUUUUGAAAAUUGUAUGAACAUUUUAAUUUUAAAUUAAGGUUGCAAGAGUUUUUGCAAAAUAUUUUUUUUACUUUUAUGAAACACACCCUAAAGGAAAAUUGACUUAACGUCCGUUUCUAAGAGGACUAACGGCAGCAUCUUUGCAUGGACUUGGUGGCGCACUAGUUCUUCCAGUAGCAACAAGACGUUGCACCAAACUGCCGAUUCUUUGUCCGUUAGUCUCCGUUAGUAACCGCUUACCGCCAAAUGGCAAUGACUCCACUCCCCUUUCUCUCAACGUUUCCUCAAUUCCCGGUCCCACUCCUCCACUUGCAUAACCGGUCGCCUGUUGAUAAAUACAAGUCCCGUUAACAGCGCUGACAACGUCAAGCUUUUCAAUCUCAUAUUUUCUUCAUUGAAAGAAAGUCUUCAUGAAUUUGGACCGACAAUUUGAGCAUACAAAUUUCCCAUUUGAUAUGAAAUUUUUUUACAAAUUGUAUCAUCUCAAUUACAAUUUAUUAGCCACGGGACUUUGAGAGUCAAAUAACCUUAAAUUUGAUUCAGAUUUUAGAUAUUUUCAAUUUUUUUUUAAAAAUUAUAUAUUUAAAAAUUAUAUAAAAAAAUAGUAUAAAUCAUAAUAAUUGAUAAUUUUAAAUAUUUAAACAAAUAUAAAAAAUAUUAUUACUCCCUUCAUUGCUAAAAAAUAUACUCCCUCCAUUUCAUAAUUAAUGAAUUGUUGGAGUUUGAUACACAGAUUAAGAAAAAAACAUUAAAACAUAAAUUUAACACAACUUUUUAUUUUUAUUUCAAAAAAAAAACCCAAUCUUCUAAUAUUGUUUUAAAAGUUAAUUGAUUGUCAAAUAAUAAGGAUAAAUUUAAAAAAAAAUUCAAGGAUUCACUUAGUUUGAAACACCAAUAAAUACCCAAUAAUUUAUUAAUUUACUUAUUCCGAAUUUAUUUAUUUCGAAACGGAGGGAGUAUUUUCUAACUUACUUUAAUAAAUAUCUUUUUAAAAAAAAUUUAGUGAUUUAUUUUUUGUUAUGAAAAGCUAAAACAUUACUCAUCAGAAAUAACUUUCAAUAUCUUAGAAUACUUAACUUUUAAUUUGCAAAAAUUAAAUUAGUCUCAAUUAAUUUAGGUUUAAAAGUUAGCCAAAUCAACUCAAAACAAAAUAUGUGUCCCUCCCGGGACAUCCGAUUAAAAAAAAAUAUAUGUCAAGCAAAUUGAAAUACCUGAACUCUAACGUAGUCUUUGGGGUUCCAGCAGAAGGCGUUACCGAGCAUCUGGUCAACAGUUUCAGAAACACCGUCGAAGACAAUUCCGACCACGGAUAACGGAGAGCAAUAGCCAUCAUUUCGCAGUUUCACGUUUGUCGGUGAGCUUAACGGUCCGUUACCUAGAGAUAAAAUCAACAGGUCAUCGACGCCGUUAACGGAAGGAAAAUCCCGUUUAUUAUGCAAAACAUGAGUAACGGCUGCAGCAGUGGGGUUAUUCAUAACUAAACCGCCGUCAACGGCGAGGCACGAGGUUUUUCCGUCAACGGACUUGAGAUUAAACGGCUUAAACAUCGACGGAUUCGAUGACGUGGCACGACAUACUUUCCAGAGAUCAAAAUCGAAACUGAGUGACUCAAUAGCAUCAGCUCUAGAGAAGACGAACGGCGCAGAACUGUUAAGGUCAAAGCACGGAACAAGCAGAGGCUUACACGUGUCCCUUAACGUCAAAACUUUUCCGUCUUCUCUCCUAAACACUUCCUUCAAUACCUUAUCCAUACUCUUCCCGGAAAACCUCUUUUUCCGACGGAGAACGCCGACGUUCUUCGCUUUAAAAAGCCGGCACUGAUUCUCCGUUACGAACUUCACGGCAUCCUUUGCCGUGAAUAAAGGACGCCCAUCUCCUCCAUACACAACAAGCAUUGCUGCGUAAAUAGCACCUAUACCAGUACCGACGAUAAUGUCGAAGAAAUCUGAAAUUCUUACGUGAGGAUCACCAGUUUUAGCACCGAUCUGGUUUUCUAAAUGGAUCAAUGCAGCACCGGAAACAAUGCCGGUAGUUCCACCACCAUCAAUACUGAGAACACGAGUUUUCUUCCCUUCGUAGUGAUACAGCCAUUUCUGCUCCAACUUCGAGAAAAUCUCCAGCGAUAUCUUACUGAACUCCAUCAAUUUCAGAUCGAUGCAGGAAAUAGUCACAGUUUUUGUUGUUUAUAGUACUGAUGGAAAAAACGUGAAAGAGGAAAAUGUUAGCAUUUAUGAUGAGAAAAUGUUGUCUGUACCCUUUUUUUUCUUUUCUUUUAUGUACUAAUUCUUUUCUUUUUGUCACUGACACAAAUAUAAUUUGUCCAGUAUGUACCCUCCCUCACACCGUAAGGGUGUUAAGUGGGCCAAAUCGGGUGAAUUCGGAACCGGUCCCUUACGUUUAGCUGAAUUGUUGGUCGGAUUGGGCUAAGUUGUAGUUUAGUGAGCCGGGUUGAGUUCGGGUUCAACAGUAAAAUUUUUUAAAACAAUUCUGAGCCAGCCCACUUAGUCCAAUUCGGUCUAACCCACCUAAACACGAUCAAAUCAGGAUAAAAAUUCGGUAAAACCCAAUCAAAAAUCAAUUUUUUUCAAUAUACACUAUGUAUAUCCAUCUAUAUAUAUUUUAAAUACGUUAAACAAUAUAUAAACACUUUAUAUAUAGUAUAUACUACAUUAGAAUUUAAAAAAAUAUAUACACAAUUACACAUAUAUAUGUAACAUUCAAUAUAUACAACUACACAUCCUACUUUAAAUAAAACAUAUACUACAAUAUAUAUAUACUACAAUAUAUAUAUAUAUANNNNNNNNNNNNNNNNNNNNNNNNNNNNNNNNNNNNNNNNNNNNNNNNNNNNNNNNNNNNNNNNNNNNNNNNNNNNNNNNNNNNNNNNNNNNNNNNNNNNNNNNNNNNNNNNNNNNNNNNNNNNNNNNNNNNNNNNNNNNNNNAUAUACACACACACUAUAUAUAUAGUUAUAUACUAAUUUCUAAAACAUAUACAUAUUUAUACGUUAAAUAUAUACGUCUAUAGAAGAUAUAUACACAUAUAUACGUAUCAUUCAAUAUAUAUGUACUACAUUAAUUAAAAUAUGCUACAAUAUAUAUAUACUACAAUAUAUACACACACUAUAUAUAUAGUUAUACACUAAUUUCUAAAACAUAUACACAUGUAUACAGUAAAUAUAUACGUGUAUAGAAGAUAUAUACACAUAUAUCCGUACCAUUCAAUAUAUACAUACUACUUUAAAUAAAAUAUACUACAAUAUAUACACACACACUAUAUAUAUAGUUAUAUACUAAUUUAUAAAACAUAUACACAUGUAUACGUUAAAUAUAUACGUCUAUAGAAGAUAUAUACACAUAUAUACGUAUCAUUCAAUACAUACGUACAACUUUAAAUAAAAUAUACUACAAUAUAUAUACUACAAUAUAUACACACACACACUAUAUAGUUAUAUAUUAAUUUAUAAAACAUUCGCACAUGUAUACGUAAAAUAUAGAAGAUAUAGACAUAUAUACGUACCAUUCAAUAUAUACGUACUACUUUAAAUAAAAUAUACUACAAUAUAUAUAUACUACAAUAUAUAUAUACUACAAUAUAUAUAUACUACAAUAUAUAUAUACUACAAUAUAUAUAUACUACAAUAUAUAUAUACUACAAUAUAUAUAUACUACAAUAUAUAUAUACUACAAUAUAUAUAUACUACAAUAUAUAUAUACUACAAUAUAUAUAUACUACAAUAUAUAUAUACUACAAUAUAUAUAUACUACAAUAUAUAUAUACUACAAUAUAUAUAUACUACAAUAUAUAUAUACUACAAUAUAUAUAUACUACAAUAUAUAUAUACUACAAUAUAUAUAUACUACAAUAUAUACACACUAUAUAUAUAGUUAUAUACUAAUUUAUAAAACAUAUACACAUGUAUACGUUAAAUAUAUACGUCUAUAGAAGAUAUAAACACAUACAUAUGUACCAUUCAAUAUGUACUACUUUAAAUAAAAUAUACCAUAGUAUAUAUAUACUACAAUAUAUACACGCACACUAUAUAUAGUUAUACACUAAUUUAUAAAAUAUAUACACAUAUACGUUAAAUAUAUACGUCUAUAGAAGAUAUAUACACAUAUAUACGUACCAUUCAAUAUAUACGUACUACUUUAAAUCAAAUAUACUACAAUAUAUAUAAUACAAUAUACACACAUUAUAUGUAUAGUUAUAUACUAAUUUAUAAAACAUAUACACAUAUAUACAUUAAAUAUAUACGUCUAUAGAAGAUAUAUACACAUAUACACGUACCAUUCAAUAUAUACUUACACAUAUAAAAUAUGUGUACUUCUUUAAAUAAAACAUAUGAUACUUAAUAUAAUAAAUUAAUAAUACUUUAUAGUAAAUUAGUCUGUUUGUUUAUUUAAAAAUAAUAAUAAAAUUAAUCGAGCCAGUUAACCAGCGGGCCUGGAUCGGGCUUGGUCUGGGCAGGGUUAACCGAACUCAAAACUAAAAAUAAAUUAGCCUGGGACCCGGGACCCGAUACCCUACAGCCCGUGGGCUGACCGGGCCAGGUCAAAUCGGGCCGAUUUUUGUAAGUGGCCGGGCUAGGCUGGGUCGGAUCGAGUCAUCCCGGCCCGUUUGAUAGGCUUACCUCACAGUGUGCUAAAUAAAGUGAUGGAGAGUUAAAACAAAAGGAAAGGACACUACAAAAAGAGAGUUGGUUAUACGUUAUAUACAACCAAGUUUAGCAUUUCCAAGUUUUUUCUACUGCUUCCACGUUUGCUUUUGACUGCUACUAAUUGUUUUUGUCUUUUCUUUUGUUUAUUCAUUUUUUGGGAAGGAGACUGGGUUAUUGGGGAAUAAUUUGCAUAGUAGCCACUUUCUAAAAUUAUUUGCUAUAUACUCACUGAUUUUUUUUCAUUUAGUUUUUAAGGUUAGGAUAAAAAAAGUGGAAGAAAAUUGUAAAAGUGGAGUUCACACAUGGGCCAAGGGAUCAUUUCAUCAUUUUUUACAACUUUGAGAAUCUAAUUUAAUACAUCUAACACCUUCUACUUCUUCCAAUAUUAAAAAAAAUCCUCUCUUUCCUCUUCAAUUUUCUCUACCCCUGCCAUUCCUAAAAAGUUACUCCCAAACAUCAUUUUCUAUCCUCUUUCUUCUCCAACUGCUAAGCGCUCGUUGUUGCUUUGUAAGGUUAGUUAAAAUCAAGUUUCAAUUAUCUUUAGAUCCAUUUAAACAGGUUUUAUUGCUAAUCGUUUCGUAGUGAUGUAGAAAAGUUUUUUUUCCGAAUUUGGUUGAUUAAGUAGUUAAAAUAUAAGUAUUUUAUAGGCAAUUAGUUUGAUUUCGAAGAAAUGGUUGAGGUUUGAUUCGAUAGUUUUGACAGAUUUCUUCGUCGAUCACGGUGUUGAAUUUUGAAAUUUUUGUUAAGGAGUUUUGAUUUAGUUCUGAUUUUUUUUAGCAAUGAAGUGUGGAAUGGUGGGAUAAUUGUUAUUUUAAGAGUUAUUUUGACAAUUUGAUUCAAACAGUGACUUGUUUCUAUUCGUAGACUUGUGGUCUAUGAAAUAAGAAUGCCCCAGAUUGAAAUUAAUUUUUAGACAUAUCAAAAUUCUUUUAAAAUAUGAUUGAUGAAAUAGUGAAAAUUGAAAGAUUAAUAGCUAAUUAGUUUGAUUUGUAGCAAUAGUUUGAUUUUUAGCAAUAGUUGAGUUUUGAUACCGCAUGUUGGAUUUUGAUUCAAUUAUGAUAUUUUUGUGUAGUGAACUGUUUAAUGAUGGGGUAAUUCUUAGGUUUUUGGGGUUUUUCAUUUGAGCAUUGAGUUAUUUCUGUUAGUAGACUUGUGGUCUAUGAACUGAAAAUAGUAGAUUUAUUUCAUAACUUUAGAUUUGUUGAAAAUAGGCAGAAAAAGACUCGGUAUUAAAUACAAAGUUGGUACCACGUCUGAUUCUGCUAGUAGCAGUAGAAAAAGAAAAACUGAGGCAGUUGAAAAUGUCUCAAAAAGAAAAAAAUAUUAAAGAAAAAGUGUCUGAAUCAGUUUCAAAGUUAAAGGAGAUAAGUAGAUACGUCGAUUCUAGUGAAGAUGUUGUCGAGUUUAGUUCUAGUGGUGAUUGUGAAGAGAGUGAGGGAAGUGGAAGAAACAGUGUUGAUGGGGAUAAUCAUCUCUUGUCCGUGCCAUCUUGUUCAAGGUUCAUUUUCAUGGAGCGGUAUGACCUUCAAACGAUAAUGGAUGAGGUUGGAUCUUUCCCGACAAAGAUAUAGGUCAGAUCAAGAAUGAAUGCUUAUUGAGAAUUUAAGCAAGUUCUUGUCGACUAGAGCUUAAAGAAAAGAUUCAAGCGGUUCUAUUUUGGACACUUGAGAAACCUGCCGGAACAUCUCAAAUUUAAUGGGCAGAUGGUCCAUUAAUUGCUGUUGCGACGCGUCAAGAACAAUAAGAUGCGUUAUGAGAUAUGGUUUUGCAUGACCAACAAGCCUGCUUGUUUUGGAUUGAAAGAGUUUUGUUUGAUCACGGGGUUGAACUUCUCAUCAUAUCCCGGUGAAUAAAAAAUGGAGAAGUGUUAGCGAAGGGGGAAUAUUUUUGCUUUAAAGUGACGAAAAACAAAAAUAUUACGAUGACCAACUUGUUACACUUGAUUAGAGGGAAUAAGCUGAACGAGGAGCAAAAGUUUAAGUGUUGUUUACUGUGGUUCUUGCACAUCUUGUUGCUUGCAAAAGAUUCGACGAAAACUGUCGACACAAAACUGAUUCAAAUUAUCGAUUCUUUGAGUUUCUUUAAGAUUUAUCCAUGGGGAAAGAGAUAUUUCAAUUGACCAUGGACUAUCUGAGGAAGAAAAGUGAUCUAAAGAAGCAGAGGAAAGUAUUUGAUGAGAAACAGAAGGCAUCCUAUGCUCUAUUCGGAUUUUCCUGGGCAUUCAUGGUAUCUACCAUCAACCCUUUAGUGAGAUUAUCAUAGAUUCUUCUUUUAUUUAUACUCUGUCAUAGACUCUGAGUCAUUUUUUCAUUACUAUAAUGCUUAUAGUUUUAGAUCUAUGAGAUCUUUCAUCAUCUUGAAAAUUUUGUUGGAAAAUCAAUAGAUGAGCCCUUUCCCAUUCCCUACAUCCUAAGAGGCACACUAUAAAAAAUGACAAGAUAAUCGAAGGCGACCCACUCAAGUAUAAAGAAAAAUUUAUCGAGGUAUGAACUUUUUUUUACUAUACAACAAUAUUACUGUUGUAUCGAAUGUUAUGUAAUUGUUAAUUGAUAUUUUGUAGAACGUGCACCCGUACAUCAUCCCUACUGUUCGUGAGACGAAGAUGGAUUACAUGAUUACGUUUAAGCCAUAUACGAACGAGGUGAAUAAUAACAUCUUUGAUGACUUAAGAAAGAUUUAUAACGGGUGACUGUCCUUACUUCAAAUGAGGACAAUGAUGAUAAUGGGGAUUUAAGUGGUAACCCCAUUGAAGUAUGCAUUGGUGAUGAUGCUUCUUCGAGCACCUCAAAAGAUGUAGUGGGCACCUCUGUCGAUGAGUAUCUUCAUAAGCGUGUUUCUAUGCUCGAGGAAGCGGUGUUGGAUAUUAUUUCCUAUAUCAAAGAGAAAAGACUGAAGAAAAAUAAAAAGGAUGAGCUACAACUUGAGAGAGGUAACUUCAUUUAAUAAUUAAUGUAGUUAAUGAAUUUUUAACUUUAAAUAUUAGUAACACUUUGUAAUAUGAUGAUGCAAUGCAUGUGAACCUUCAUGAAUUUGAGAGGAAUGAAGAAUGAAAAAAAGGAGCAAAAUGGAUGAGUUGGUUACUGUUGUGAUAGAAGAGAAAAAGGAAGAAAAAAAAGGACGAACAACAAGAAGAAGAAGAAAUGGAAGAAGAUAAGAGCCAAGAAGAAACUGAAAAAGAAGCAGCUGCAGAAGAAAAAGAAGAAGAAGCUGAAAAAGAAGCAGCAGAUGAUGAAGAAGAAGACAAGAAAAAAGAAAAAGUUGAAAAAAUAGUAGCAGUUGAUAAAGAAGAAGAAAAAGCUGACAAAGAAGAAGCUGAGAAAGAAACAACAAGUGAAGAAAAAGAAGAAGUUGAGAAUAAAGAAGCUGUUGCAAGUGAAGAAAAAAAAGAAGCUGAGGAAAAAAAAAGCUGAGAAAGAAGCAGAAGCUACUGCAGAUGCUAAAAAAGAAGGAGAACAAGGUGAGGAAAAAAACAAUAAUUGUAGAUGUUAGAAAAAAGGAGAUAAAGCUAAAGAUGGAAAUGAAGAAGCAACAGACAAAGAUGAACAAAAAGAAGAAAAAGAAGAAGCAGACAAAAAGAUGUGGUCGUGGAUAUCGUUGAUGAAAUCAACAAUAACAUUUUUGUUGAUAAGGAAAAUGGGAAAAAGACAUUUGAAUGCUAAUAUUGUUAAUGUGCUGAAUGAUUAGUUGUUAUGAUAUUACAAAUAUUUUUUUUAUUUGACAAAUAUGAAAGUUGAAUGAUCUGUUGGUAGGAUAUGACAAACAUUCUUUUAUUUUAUGAAAGUUGUUAUGAUUCUGCAUUGAAUCUACUUUUAUCAAACUGUAUUGUUGCAUGAAAUUUGAACAUGCAUUGUGUUGUCAUAAUUGUUACAAUGUAUAGUUGACAUCACAAAAUGCAUAUCUAAUCUUUCGUAUAUUGCUUGCAUUGUCUAUCAUUAUCAUGCUACUAAAUUUUAAGUAGAUGUGUUGUUUGAUCAAUUAUGAUUCUAUGAAAAACAAUAUUAACAUUAUAGAAAAAUAGAAGUAUUUUUAUUUAUUCAAUAUCACUACGUCCAUGUUAUACUUUUUCAAAGAACGAAUGCUAGCAUUAUAGCUCAUAACAUCAUUUUUAGGUCAUUCUCCCUUUUUCGGCCAAAACCAAUUUUUAUUUUAGUCGAUCCCUCUCGAUUUGGGUGUCAUGCAGCAAUACUUUCAAGUGAUCCCUCUGCUCUUUGACUUCUUUGAACAAAGUCAUGAGAAAAUCUCUAUUUUCUUUGCAUUCUCGGAGCCUUUGUAGUAGAUUAAAUUUUGCCAAGCAAUGAAAAUUUACUGUCUCAGAUCCCGAAUUCACCGUUGAUGGACUACUUGGAGGUGAUACUUCAUCAAGCCAUUUAAAAAAUGAGCAUGCAUCAUUAUCUUAGAAAAAUAAUAAUUACAUAACGAUUUACUUAACUUUAUAAAAAAGACAUACACAACUCACCUUCGCAAUUGGAUAGUUAUAAAAUUUGCGACCUGAAUUUGAGUCUGUGCGUGACAUCCUCAGGACAGGCGCAUUCCAUAAUGACAAAUUAGAAUCCUUUUAGAAUUGAAUGUUUGGGAUGCUUGAGACAUUGUAGAAUUUUAAAAUAAAAAUAAAGUGAAUGAAAUAAAAUAAUGAGGGAUGGAGGACUUUAUAUAUGAAGUAAAAAGAAGUGUUAACACUGAAGGAGUACAAAAUUAGCCGUUUGUUACUGUUGAAACAGUAAUUGUGUUUUUUGAAUUGUUGGUGAUAUUUAAUAGACCGUUAGAGAUCAUGACCUAUGUUAGUCAUCAACGAGAUACUAAAGUCUACCGUAGACACUCGUAAUCGAUGGACCCUCAAUAACAUUUUUUUUAAAAAUUAAUUCAGUAAAAAAUAUACUUGUGUUUUAAGAGUCCAUCGAUUCAAUUGGUCUACCAUAGACUUACAUUUUUAUGUAGAGCAUCGAUUGAUCUAUGUAUCAUUCAUAGAUCGCGUAGAUCUAUGUACACUGGUAUAGACCAUUACUUUGAUGUUGUUUAAAAGUAAAUAAAUUAAUUAAAAAUAAAUAUAGUAUGAGUUUCUACACAUAUGAAGGAGUGUAAACAAGUCACAUAAUCAUAUUAGAGCUUAUACAAAUUAGGGGUGGUGAAUUAAGGAGUGUGUGGAUAGGUAGCGGCUGAACAAACAAUAUCCUAAGAGUAAUGUUUGUCAAAGCACAAGUAUGUUUUGAGGAUGAUGAUUGUUCAACCACUAUCCAAUCCACAUACUGUUUUGAUUUGGGGGUGGUGAUUGAAGGAAUAUGUAAAAUGGGCAGUCAUCAAAUACAAUCAACAUCCUUAAAACAUACUUGUGCUUUGACAAACAUUACUCUUAGGAUAUUAUUUGUUCAACCACUAUCCAUUCACACACGCCUUAAUUCACCAUCCCUAAUUUGUAUAAGCUCUAAUAUGAUUAUUUGACUUAUUUACACUCCUUCAUAUGUGUAGAAACUCACACUAUAUUUAUUUUUAAUUUAUUUAUUCAUUUUAAAACAACAUCUAAGUAAGGGUCUAUUACCUUGUACAUAAAUCUCUGUGGUCUACGAAUAAUCAGGAGAUCAAUCAAUGCACUCUUUACAGUGUAAGUCUACGGUAGACCAAAUGAAUCAAUGGAUCCUCAAAGCACAAGUAUAUUUUUUUACGUGAAUUUGACAUGGAUCAACAUCGAUGGUAGUCUAUUAAGUGUCACCAACAGUUCAAGAUUGUUUGUUAACCACCCUAAAUCAGGUGAUUAUGUGUUUAAACCUUUUUUGAUUUAAUUAUUUUCUUUCACCACCCUAAAUCAUGUGAUUAUGUUUUAGAACUUUUUUAAUUUAAUUAUUUUCUUUCACCAACCCUAAAACUUGUGAUUAUUUAUUUAACUUUUUUUAAUUUAAUUAUUUUCUUUCACCAACUCCAAAACAUGUUAUUAUCUGUUUAAUCUUUUUUAAUUUAAUUAUUUUCUUUCAACAUCCCCAAAUUAUGUUAUUAUCUGUUUAAACUUUUCUUAAUUUAAUUAUUUUCUUUCAAACUAUAAGCUACUGAUGGCCCAUCGAUUCAUAUAGUUCAUGAUCGACUCCUAUGUUUGGUCGAAGGUGACGGAGUCUAAGAUCGAUGAUAGACUAUAUAUCAUUUUUUAUUCUUUGUGAAUUAAAUCAAGUCAAUAUACCGUUGUAUUCAUUGAACAAGGAAUAAAAAUUUAAAAAGUUGAUUGUACAGAAGAAUAACCAACACAAAAAACAACAAUCACAAAAAAUAGGAAAAACAUAAUUUAGAAACUGAAAUACUUAUAUUUGUUUUGUUCAUUGCAGUACAUAUAUUUUCCAUUAUCAAAAACAACAAAAAAGGUAAAAAAGAAGAAGUUUCUUCUAACAACAAUCCUACCAAGAAAGUUUCUUUUGCAAUGAACAAUACCAAAAACUUAUAAACAUAAACGAAAAUAAAAACUUAAACUAAAUUUAGAGGGAUGAUAGGGGAGAGGGGGGGGGGAGGGGAGGAUGUAGUCGGUGCCAUCCAUUCCUAGCCUCUCUAGAAUUACCCUCAUGAUACAAGAAGGACAACGGAAGCACAAAAACAAACACCAAAAUCAGUCCACUAGCUAAGAAAUUAAGGACCUCUUCUGGUGCCCCCUCUCGGAUUCGCUACCAACAAGAAGAAUACAAGGCACAAAGGGCGUAAUAACACCAAAACAGUAGCAACACAACAAGAACAAGAUGAACUAUAGGCUAAUUUCGGAUUUCACAUUAACAACAGAAAUAAACGGUUACAACAUCAACACUACUACACGAUUACAAAGAAAUAAAAUGAUAGAUAGUUAGACAAAUUGAAGGUAUAAUAUUAACAACCCAAAAGACUAUUCCACUCUUGGACCUUUAACAUCACACAGAUCAAAUACCUAACUCUUACGUUGGCACAAGAGUGACCCCGAUCUACCAAGCAUCCAAUGUUUCCAAGCUUGAAUCCAACACGAGCAAUUCCACACUCAAGUUGAUUUUCCUAGUUACAAUUUCGGGUUGGUGGUCUUUUCUCCUUAGAGAGAAAAUGUUUCAAGUGUUAUAAACUCAUAAUAUUCAUCAAAAUCUCCUAAUGAAACCCUAUAUUAUUCUAUUUAUAGUGUAUUACAAAUAAUAGGUAAAAUAACCAAAAGGCCCCUUAAUGAAGGGGCACCCCUCUAGUGUAUGUAGUGGAUUGAUUUGGCCUUUUUAGUGUAUGUAGUUGACUGUUUUGGUGUCCAUUUAGGUGCUUCUUUGCACUUUAUUACACACACCAAGCCUCGGGUCUAACGUACGCCCUCAUAAGUCCAUCUACGUGAUUGUACUCAUAUCAUCCUUCCCUUCUUGAAAAGGAUUCAACCUCGAAUUCGUACCUUGCAAAAUUAAAGAGAAAACAAACAAGUACACAUCCUCAUGGCUUGAGGGUUAGGGGUAGCAAAAUAAACAAUUAGCACUAUCAUGCCACGGUGGUACACAUUUGAAGUACAACCAAGGAUCCUUUGUGUUAAUUAUGAAAAGCUUUUGUACAACAUCACAAAUGAAAGGGCUCGGAUAAACAUCAAGAAUUAAGGGAUAAAAACUGAGACUACACCUCUCAUACGAUGUAUAUACAACAACAUCAUGAAUAUCAUCAUAUGUAUAUAGGUAGUGAAGAAAGGCACCAAAGACACAAUUCUCAUCUAAGAUGUAUUCACAAGUAGGAACACACAAUGAGAGAAAGGGACAUUACAAGUACGUAGGACAUCUCUCCUUCUAACCACUUACCUAGGAAAGGUAUUCCAUCAAGGGAGUCAUACCAAUAGGGAGAAUAGGGAAACUACCAUGCAACAAUCCAAUCCAAGGAAAGUAGUUUGUCCAAGAACUUGGCUUCCCUCUACAAAUGAUGUGACCACAAGAUACUUCAACUUGUCCAACCCUAUGAAGGUAAUAAGAAGUCUUUAAUAUCUUUGGACCCUUCCACAAACAAGAAUACAACUUGACAUCCUCAAGUUGUGGUUGCAUGGAUAUGAGCAACACCCCAAAGAGACAAUGACAUAUUUGCCCUACGGUCCUCGAGUAGACACAAACCACCAUUAACAUCAAAGGGAUCACAAUUCAAGUCACCAUAUUUGUCAAGCACGGGUGGGGUGUCAUGCAAAAGAGUACAAGAAAAAUCAUUUUUCAAAGAUAUGUCAAGCACAUGAUUAACCCUAUGAGCCAAGCAAAUAUUAUAAUCUUUACAACAACAUAGGCUCACGGGUUCACUCCUUUGUCCUUGACCAACAUCUUCAAAUUAUUCACUCACUUGAGAUUCAUUAAUCACAUCACACAUAUUCUUAAGUGGUGGGCAAGUUUUACACACAAGUUGAUCAACACAAUUUUCAUAUAACGAUGUAAUUUUAUUCAACACAAUAGCUUUAACACUAGGUGGAUUUGUUAAGUUGGAAAGAUUGGAUGAUGAGGUGGAUUAAAGUGGGUAUAUGAUAAUUUUUUCAAAACUUUUAUCUAAAUGACUAAAUAAGUCUUGAAAAGAGCAUUUUUGGCUUGAAAGCCCUGGUUAUUGACUGUACAUUACUUCCUCUGUUUCAUUUUAAUUAUCUACUUGCUAAAACUUUUUUAAUUUAAUUAUUUAUUUAUAUAUAAAAUUAAAAGUAUUUUUACAUAUAUAUUUUAAAUUUUAUCCUUGACAAUGAAUAACUAUAUAAGUAAUAAUAAUUAAAUUUAGGAUUACAAACAUCAUUAGUAACGUAAUUGGUGUAUAAUUUAAAGAACAGUUUUCGCAUGAACACUACAAUAAUAAUAUAUUUAAUGUAAUUUCAUAAAGUAUGGUUCAAAAAGAAUAAAAUUUACGGAAUUUUAUCCUUACCUUGAAGGUAGAAAGGUUGUUUAUGAUAGAUCCGCAUGCAUCUAGUCAGGCUGAAUCUAUCAGAAGGAACUUUGGAAGAACAUAUCAAAAAAUUGAACAGAUAGACCAUACUAAAACAUUAAAGUUAUAUAAUUCAGAUUCGUACAAAAAUAGAGAAAUUUAUUGGUAUUCACACUGUCAAAACAACAAACCAUAUUUAAAAAUAUUUUGAAAGCAGACAAAAAAGGUUAAGACAUCUAAAAUUGUACUGUUCAUACAUACAAAGGGAUGUAAUUACUUCCACCGUAGGGUUGGACUCCCAACAUUGCCUAACAAAAGGAGGAAAAAAAUAGCUUCCAUGCUCAGGUAAUAACGUGUUUUUUCGUAGUUUCUUUGACUUUAUCACAACAUCACCAAAUAUGAUGUCGAUCGAUGGAUAUAUGACAGCCUGUGAGAUAAGUAUUACAAGCAAUCACUAAUCUUAUAAUGGGUAUUAAGACAAGAGUUAAUCACUAAUCACUGAUGGUGCACAAAUCACUAAUCACUAAUCACUAACGGUGAACAAAACUUAAAGUUUAAGUUUUGUGCAUCGUCAGUGCACAAAAUAUUCUACACUAUCAGUUAACUUGACCUGCUAUUGCAAGGUACCCAAUUAUUUACAUAAAAAUUAAAAAAGAAAAAAAUAAGUAACCUGCAAUAGUAAGCCAAAUUUACUUGACAGUGUAUAAUAUAUUGUACAAUGACAGUACACAAAACUUAAAUUCUGAAGACAAAAUGACGAAGGAGAGAAGGUAUUGCAAGAACAUAGAAAAUAUUUAAUGGAUACCUGAAUAUAGGGAAAAGAUUUUGCUAUGAAGAAAACCAUGAUUUUCCUAUGUAUAAGUAAGCACUGAAAACAAAAUUCAUAAUUCGAGAAAAAAUAAAACAACUUAUUCAAUUAUAAUUCAAACAAAGCAUAAAUAAAACAACUUAUUCGGUAGAAUUCUACCAUCUUAAAAAAAUAAUCAUAAAAUACGAAUUAAUUAUAAAUACACCCAAAAUUAACAAAAACUAACUAUUAUACUUCAAUUCAAUUCGACUUUAACUUUGUUCAAGAUGUAUGGUAACAAAAUUUUAUAAAUUCUUGAUCAACAAGCAAUAAAAACAAGAACAUCACUAUAAAUCUAAUAAAAUAAUAUUUCGUACGUUUGCUAAAUCUCUAAAACUUAAAAGUUCAAGAGAACCACGUAAAAUAAUUUGGUUUAGAACUUCUGAAACUAAUUGAAAUUAAUUUAAAUUCUGAAAAUAAGGAAAAUAAUUAAAUAAUUAUUGUUAAAUAGAGUUUUAAUUGAUUUGAGCUUCUAAACAUAAAGGAAAAUAAUUACAUGACUAAUCCUAAUAUAAGCCUAUUUUUGUGGGCCAAAAUUCCGUACCAUUUUUUUUUUUAGGAAAAAGACAACCAAACCUAUUUUAUAUGGAAAAGGAUUUCUUACCAAUCUUUUAUAUUAUAUUUAAUAUAUAGAUAUAAUGGGAUUCUUUCCAUAUAUUUUGAGACUGUUAAUUUCUUUCCAUAUAUUUAACGGCUCAUAUAUAUUUUAGAAUUGAUAUGUUUUACACAAUUUAAGAUUCUUAAUUUCUUUUCAUAUAUUUAUUGUAUCAGGAUUCUUUCCAUAUAUUUUAGAAGUUCUUAAUUUAAUAAUAUAGUAAUUUAGUAAAAUAGUAAAUAGUGAUUUUGUUUAUUGUGGAGUCUUUUAAUGAAGUGCAAAAAGUUUAAAUCACUUUUCCAAGAGUUUUCACACUUUUAAUAUAUUAUAGAUAUAGAUAAAGAUUAAAAGUGUGAAGGGCAUUAGAAAUAUUAUUUGAACUUUUUGUCCUUCAUUAAAAGACAUUGCAAUACACAAAGUUGAUUUUUCAUUUUUUCUUUCAAUUAUUUAAUAACAUUGACAAUAAUUUAAAGAGUCCUAAAAAUAUAUGGUAAAAGAUAUUAGAAAAAUUAAUAAUUAAAUCCUAAAAGUAUAUGAUAAAAACGAAAUACAAUUUAACAAAUGAAAAGUCCUGAAAGAUAUAGGAAAUGUAAUUUUGGACUCUUUUGUUAUGAUCAAAAAAUGACACAAAAAGGAUGUAUAAAGAUUUUUUUUAAGAAAAUAAGAAGGGAAAAGAAAUGUAAAAAGCUAAACUAGGACAUUAAUUUUUGAGAUCUUUUAAGAAUAUAAUAUUAUUAAUAUUUUAAUAUAUAUUAGUAUUUGUGUGUAUCUAUAAUUUAAUUGGAAAGACUAUUUUGUUAAUUUAAAGAGCAAAAUUCUAUAAUUGAACUAAGGAGAAAUUGUUAUAAAUAUAUUACCAUAUAUAUAGUGAAUGUCUACUUUAUCAUAUAUGAAUAUCUAUUUAUGAAAAGUUAGAAAUCCCAAGGUUAGUUUUCCCUAUAAAUAAAGGGGUUUUACCUUCAUUGUAAUUCACUUAUUGUAAUACCCCGAGAAUUCCAACAAAUAAUAAAACCAUGCUUCAAACACAUGAGAAAUAAAUUUUAGUGAUUUGAAAGUUUUAUGAUCAAUUUUGAUGUGUAUUAAGGCCUCAAAUAUGUCCUAACUAUUAGGCGAAUCAAAACACCCUUACCGAUUGAAUUCUUGAGAAGGAUAUUAUUAUAGUCAACUUCAAACUAGCAUAUCUUUCAUUAUAAUCUGAAUUUCUAUGAUCAUGACACACCAACAGAUAGAUAAUUGAAUUAGCUUUUCAACGAUACUAAUUUUGUCAAAAUCCAUUAUCGGUGUAAAAAGUUAUGUUCGUUUUACAGUGAGCUAUUCGGACUGCCAAAGUGUGAUGAACCAUCGCAACUGAGGCAGUAAGCCCAUUUUCUAGCCAUAAAGCGAUGGUUGAGGGAUGGUCCAUCCCUAGGGCGACGGGUCGUCGCCCAAACUGUCCCGCACUUCCGUUUAGCAAAUAAAAGCCAUUUUAAGGAAAUUUUUGGGUCUUUUCCAUCCUUUUUAACACCUAAUUACAUCAAAUCAAAGCACAUAACUUCAUAUUCAUCCAUAGCAUCAAAAUUAGGGUUCCUUUCAAGAUUAACCCUCAAGCACAAGGUUCAAACCUUUCUUCAAGAAAACUCAAGAAUCAAAACAUCACCAUUCAAGAACCUUCAAGAAAAUUCUCCAAGAACAUUCUCAAGGCUUCAAAAGCCAACUUGUUCCAUUGAAUCAACUAAAUAAGGUAUGUGGAGUUUGAACAAGAAUAAAUCUUUCAUUCUUGUGUCCAAAAACUUGAAUUUUAUUAAAGAUUACAUGAUUUGCAAGUUGGGGUUUAUGCCCAAAUUAUCUUGUUUUGAGUUUAUAAAGUUAUAAGUGAUUUAAGCCUUGAAUUUCAUGACUAUUUUCAUAUAUUUAUGCAAGUAAUGCGAUUUUUCAAAUUUUCCAAGUAAGUUUAGGUAUGAUAUUGGGAUUCUUGAUUUUAUUAUUUUGAUAUUGUUGAAGUAUUUUCAAGAAGCAUGUUGAGCAUGAAGUUUUGUUGUGAAUUUGUCAUGAGUUUAAAAAAUGAAUUUUAAGCCCAAAAAUUAAGUAUUGAAAUACUCAAGAUCAUGUUCUUAAAAGUUUUGAUUGUUAAGUCCAUGUCAAGAACGAGUUUGAGUUUUCGAAAAGGCUAUGAUCUUAAGCUUUCCCUGUAGCAGAUUGCUUACCAAGGUUUAAAGAAAGUUGAUGUUUUGAUCCUAAGCUAAGAUAGGAAUCCAUAUUAUUCUUAUAGUUUAUGAUUUAAAGCAAAGAGAAGCACAAUUGGUUUUCAUUAUAGACCCUUGUGCUAUUUUAAGGUAGAUUUCCUAAAAAGUUCUGAGCAAUAAGUAUGGGAGUAGUAUUUAGCAUCGAGUUGGGUAUGAUUCCAAGGUCUCAUGCCCCAGAACUAUGUGCCACCGUAGGUUUCUGAUUUGCCCAAAGUGGGCUAAGAUAGUGAUCACUUAAGUCAAGGUUCUAUUUUGAUGUCAAGGGUAGAAUAGCUCUUUCCAAUGUGGGCAAUAUGUUGGACUCCAUGUCAGCUCACAUGGUUUAUGUCGGUUAGAAGAAACUCCCAAAGUUCUACAAUCCCUAAGUUUCAAAAGAAGUCCCCUAUUCUCCUUAAGAUGAAUGUAUAUGUUUUAAAAGCUAUUAUUUUAAGAUUUUCCAAGUUCCUAGUCUCCAAAGUUUUAUAGUCCUAAAGUUCCCAACUCCUUGUGUUUCCAAAGUCCUAUCCUCCUCAAGAUAAAAGCAUAAGUUUUAAAAGUUAUUAUUUUAAGAUUUCUUUUUACUUACAAGCUUUGAGAAUAAGAGGAGAAUACAAAUUUUAGAACUCAGUAUAAUGACUCACGAGAUUUAUGCUACAUGUUUCAUUAUUCAGGAUUUAUGAGAUUUAGAUUUCAGCUUUAUUCAAGCUAUGUGAGUUAUUUAUGUCAGCAUGCAUGGUUUUAUAAAGAGUAAUGAUAUUAUUGACUUAAUGUAUACAUCCCUAUAUACUCAGUAUAUCCUCAAAGUACUGAUCUACAUAUAUGUCAAUUUAUUACAUUGUCUCAUAAUAUAGGUACAAGAUCUAGUAGGCAUAUUUAGACUCAGACAGUUGUAGAUUCCAGCAAUAAGGUGAUGAGCCCUCCUACUUUGGGGACUUCAGUUGGAUUUAUUUAUGUCGUGUCUUUUCUUAUUCAUAUGUAUUUAUUAGCGAUAGUUAGAGUAGCUUCCCAACUAUUUAUAGUUAGUGUAGUAGAGGCUUCACAGAUGUUAUUUAGAGUCAGUAUUGUAAUUUCAGUCCCUCUCUUCAGACUUUAUUAGAAUGUAAAAGUGGUAUCAGUAUUGUGUUUUAUUGAUUUUAGUAUUUCUCUAAGUUUUCGCACAGUAAACUCCGUCAUUCAUUCAUAUUUAAUCAGUUGCUUAGUAGUAUUCCAUUAGAAGGGUUAGCUUGGGAUCACUUGUGGUCCUAAGCACUGUGUGACAUCUCGAAACAGAUUUUUGGGGCGUUAUAAACUUGAUAUCAGAGCACAAGGUUCAAGUAUCCUAGGGUUUCUGUGAAGCUGUGUCUAGUAGAGUCUUGUGGAAUGGUAUGAAGACGUCUGUACUUUUCUUCUAGAGGCUAUAAGGCAUUUAGGAAAUGUGUCCUUUCUUUCAAGUCUCAGAUCGUGCUAUAGAAAGGUUCUCUAAGAAACGUAAAUAGAUUCUCAUCCUAUUCUAUUUAGGCCAUCUCUGCCUCAAUUUUAAGGUACCAAAAACAAUCAAGCUUUAUUCUCCACAUAUAGUUAUGGGAUUAUAAGAAGGUUAGAAAUUAUCCCAUCAGUGCUUUUGAGUUCCAAAGAUUGAAGUGCUUUAUUAUGUUUAAAAAAACCCGUUCACUAAUCCCAAGUCAGAUGUACUUUCAGAUUCCUCCUCAGAAUCCAUAUCUUAAUCUAUACUUCUUUAUCUAUGUAAUGUUCUUGAGAUAACAUGAUAGGCAAGUUCCAAUUUUCUGCCCUGAUAAUGCUCUCAGAUUUGCUAGCAAGAAGUUUCAGAAUACACCCAAAGGGUUUGAGAGGAGUUCUUUAGUGUGUCAUAAGUCCCUCAAGCUAAAUGUUAUGUCCUCAUUCUUAUGAGUUGUUCAGUUGAUGUAGAAUUAGAUAUAUAUUCAGAUUGCCUGUUGACCCUUUUAAUACAGAUAAUACUCAUGAGAGGAGAUAGUAUGAACGUAAAAGGUUAAGUGUAGUAUGCAUUCGAGGGAUAUAUGAACUUCAGUAUUAUGAUUUAUGAAUAGUAGAACCUUAUUAUAGUUGGAAGUAUGCGUAUAGAAGAGUAGUUUCAAGAAGAUGUAGGAACAACGAUUGGUAAAAAGUAUAGAUAUAAGCUUAUGUAUGUUAUCAAGAUGUGUUAAUGUAAUGCCCUAAUUUGCUAAACCGAAACGCUACACAGUGCUCAUGACCCCGAAGGACCAUAAGCUAAUCCAUGACUGAUAUCUGUACCUGUAUACUGCAUAAAAUACUGAAUAAUGCAGAAACAUACACUGAAAGGCCAUAAGGUUUAAUACUAAACAUAACAUGGAUGAGAUAACAUCUGUGGGGUAAUAUAAUACCCAAAACAAAACUAUAAACACUGAAGUCUGAAACAUAAUAGUCUGCAUCUAGUUUGAAAGCCUCUACUGUCUGAAUAAUCUGAAUAAGUAGUUGGUGGAACAUGUCCCUAACUAACUCUAACUAAUAACUAAUCAAUGAAAUAAUGGAGAAAUAAUCAUGUCCUCGAAGGAUGAGGACUCAGUUCUAUUCUGACUGCUGAGACUGGAAUCUACUGCUGAUUUGGAACUCGUGUCUCUGAACCUAUAGUGUAACAUAAAAAAAAAGCACCAUAGUGCAAAUGCAUCAUUACAAUGAAAUGUACUGAGUAUACAUGUGAGGUAGGCUAAUUCAAGGGAUAACAUGCAUGAAUAAUACUAGCUGACUGUCUAACAUGAAUACAAGAAUGCAUACAUAAAUACGUAACUGUAACUGUCACUGUCACUGUGAUAUCAUGAUUACUGAAUCUGAAUACUGAUGACAUGAUAUACUAAUAACUGAUAUAGUUGAUAGCAUAAAUAGUUGUAUCUAAAUGUAACUAAUAACAUGGGUAACUGUAUCUGACAGUCCUGAAUCUGAUAGAACUAUCUGAGUUCCUUACUAUUUUUGAGUCAACUAUAUCUGACAGUAUUAAAUCUGAAAAACUAUUUGAGUUCUUUUACUGUGACUGAUACUAAAAUUGUGGGAGGUAGUAUUUAACUGACAUGCUCCUGAUACGCCAUUAUGGCUGAGUUGGGGUUUAAUCUGUAACCCCAAUUAGAAGGGUGUCAAUACCGCGCCGUUGGUAAGGACAAGCUAUGGGCGACCCUUAUCUGAUAGUGUCCCUAAAAGAGAAUAGUAGGGCCCUUAUCUAACAGUGCUUAUCCACCUCAUCAACCCUCAUCGGACAGUGUUGAUGUCUCAAUCUAUGCUAGCUACAUAGUUCUGGGAUGCAAGGAUGACUUCUAAGGACCACACCCUCAUCUGAUAGUGUGUGUCUCCAUCCUUGGGUUCACUCGGUGCUAAUUCCUACACCCAUCUGAAUGGACACUGAACAUGAUUUACUGAACUCAACAUGAGUUGAGUUACUAAGUUCCAUUGACUGACGAAAUACUAUUGAUAUUUGACAACUGACUGAGUCAUGAGAUCAUGGAGAUUUUUCCUGAGUCAUCAGACUAUCUAAAGUCUAAGGAUUCAUAUCUUGACUGAGAGCAUCAUGAAAACAUGACAUGACUCUAGGUAUACAACUAAUGUUUUAGGUACAAGUACCCCCAGGACUCGAUGGAAGGAAACUGACAAAGCAUGACUUACUUGAAUACAUAGUAAUUAUCAUAAUACAUUGACUGAAGCAUUUCAUCAAAUAUGUGAUAGGCAUAAGCUUGUACGUACAUGGGGAUUUCAUGAUAUCAUGCUAAUUAGACACUUUUCCUUUAUCUAGGCAUUCAACCAAAUACAUAGUAGGCAUAGAAUGUGUAAACAACAUCAUACAACAAUUAACUGUCGUGAUUCAAUUCCAAUUUAAUCAUUCAAGGGUUUAGUCCUAACGUUUUAUGAAUCUAUACCGAUACAAAUCAACCCAUAUGAAAUUUAACACUCAUUCAUGGAAUAUAAUUCAAUUACUCAUUAUCAACAUGAACAAAAGUAGCCCAAAUCAUGAAAUUCAUAAGAAAAUCCAUAACCUGAAUUUAGAAAAGGGAUUCUUGGGCUUCAUGGAUGAAAGGAGUCCAUGAAUGAAUACUAUGCAUACCAUAGUUCGUGAUUUCGUAAAGAUUGAUGGUGAAACCUUCUUGAAAUUGGAUCUUUUAUGAAAAACCUAGCUUGUUCUUGAUAGAAACUUAAGAGACGAGAGUGUAUUUUGGGUGAAAAGUGGCUGAAUCACAUAUUAAAGGGCUUAAAUAGGGGUGGGAAAUUGACCCUUUUAACCCUGGAUGCGUUUUGUAAUUUUAGUAAAAAUUUCUCAAAUUGAAUCCCUGGUACGACGCGGUACUAUCACGCCGUGUCACUGGAAUUUGACAAUUGGAAAAUUGAGGGAUGGCGCAACACGGAGCCAUCACGUUACCCCUUCCUUUGUGACCUGGAACUUUGGCGCAACGCGGGAGAAAUCACGCUGAGACACUGGAAAAAGGACAAUUCUGAAUUUGAGUGCUUAAACGAUGCACCAUAAUUGCGGACACCUACUGCAAAUUUCCACAUGCCAUUUCCUCUUGUGGCGCGGCGCACCACUGACUAAUAUGGUGCUGUUUUAUGAUGAAAACUUGAAAUAGUCAUAACUUCUUACCCGAUUAUCGGAUUUAAGAGAAUCAUAUAUCGAUGGAAAGCUUAUUGAAUUUUUCACAUGAAAAAAUUAAAAAUAUUGAAAAUUUCUCAUGUAAUAAUUAUCCUUUACUUUAGAAGCUAAUACUAGGCAUUCUUGGGAUGAAAUUUGCUAGAAAUCUUUAGGGUAUUACUGUUAAGGUGAUAUGUCCUUGUGUGUUAGUUUAGUGAAAGGUAGAGACAGAGUUAUUAGUAAGGUGAAUUGUUGUUGCUUGAAGUAUGGGGAGAGUUAUUGAUAGUAUUUAUUAUGCUUGAAAAGUAUAGGAUAUUAUGAAGCAUCUGGUGGUCUAGUGGUCUAGUAGCAUUAAUUUAAGUUUCCCUUGAGGCUAAAAAUAGGGUGUUUAGUUAAAACUUAUAGAGCUGUGAUAGUAAUUCAGAUGUAUAAAGGGUAAAUAGUAAUGAGGUGUUGAAAGAGGAUGUGUUAAUGGAUUAUGAUAAGAUAGGCCAUAUGAUUUUGAUCGAUUAUUGUUGCUCGAAAGUUCUAAUGGAAUAGUGUUUCUUGAUAUUAUAUUUUAUAGUUUUCGAGGGAGAAUUGUAUGUAAGGUGAGUAGUCAAAUCAUGCUUGACACUAGACAUUAAGUUUGAACAGUGGAUGGUUACCAAGAUGGGUGUAAUGAUUCCCUGGUUAGUGCGGCUAAUUAUAUGGGAGUGAUCUUGUAGGCUUGAACUAUGCAUGAAAGAGUUUGAGUUUAGUUAUUCAUCAUUAAGUAUGGUGUUGCAAGUAUAAUGUGCAACUGUAUGCUCAAGGUAAUAUAGUGUUGCUUUGUCUUUCUAAGGUUAUUACGUGUUGUGUAUGGUUGGUAAUACCCUUGAGUUGAUAAGUAUGAAUGAGGUUGUAUAGUAUAUGAUGUUCUUGUCAGUUAACUUAUAGGUUACAGGUUGGUGAUAUGGUAAGUUAGAGAUGUGAUAUUAGCAGAGUAUGGGGAAAGUUCAGCAAAGGUGUAGAGAUAUCCAUAUUUAGUGUUAGAAUCAAAGUUGGUGAGUAUUUAAGUUGUUAAAUGAUGAUUUAUGGGGCUAUAGAAAUCUAAGAGUUGAAUCUUAGAAGGAGGUGUUAGCAUUGGGUGUUAUACGUGAAGAUACAGUCCUUCAAGGUAAGUUUAGUUUUAUGUGUAUUGAUUUUAUCCCAGACUCUAGAAUAAAGUGAUUGUGGUUUAGAUUAAAGUUUAUAUAGUAGUUCACAGAAUAAGAGUGAUGGCUUAAGUCUAAGGGGGAGAUGGCAGAAGGAGUAGCCAAGUCAGACUUCCAGAUUCUUGUUGAAAUGCCUGUGUAGUAUAGAAAACCCGUAAGAGAGGAUGAUGCCCGACCUAUUCUUAUUUUAGUAUUUCCAGUCAUCCCAAUACCUACUCAUGCUUUAUGUCUUAGUUCCAUGAUCAUAGUUCAUGUUCAUGCAUAUGAUAGAGAAUCAUAUACCCUCCUAGUUCCCAAAAUGAGGAGUUCAAGUUCUUUCAGCAGUUGGAAUCAUAUUCCAUAAGUGAUGAACUCUAAAUUUAGGUCAUGCAGCUCAUGACUCAUGUACUCAAGCUUUAUAGUAUGUGCAGUUCAAGCACUCAAGAAAUACUCUUAAUGAUUAGCGAAAUUCGGAUUUAUAUCAUGCAUGUCCUCAGAUCAGACUUCUUUAAUGAGUUCAUGAUGUUAAAUAUUCUAUUCCUCAAGCCUCAGUUGAGUGUUAAGUUAUACACAGUAUCCCUUCAUGUUUCAGGUCCUCAUGUUCUAACCUUUUAUUACCUUUCUUUAGGUCAAGAUAGUGAUGACGAAUAAUUGUCUGGAUGGGAGAGAGUAACCAUUUCUUGUUAAUGGAAUAUGUUGUAUGCUUAUUUUAGCUAAGGCUAUAAGUGUGAAGUAGGAUUGAGGCUAGGUCGUUGAUACACGUCAUGGUUAGUUAAAGUCUUAUUGCUAUGUGUGAAUAGUUGAAAUUUUAUGUAAGUCUACUUAAGAAUAGUACAUGGAAGUUAUUCUUGAUAGAGGUUUGUAGGAUAUGGAAAAGAUACUUUAUGAGCAUUUGUUUAGAAGUGCAUAUGGGGUUAUGAAGAUAGGCUUGAAUGUCAUAUUUGUAUACAUGCGGAGGGAUGCAUUGAGCGUUAGUGAAUGUUUAGUACUAGGUGGAUUGUAGUUGUUGGAGUGGUAAUGAGGAUUAUUCUGGAGAUAAGAAGUUAUGAAAAAUGCAGAUGCGUGUGAAUUCAUGAUUCUGACUGGUGUUAUGUUAUGGUGUUAUGUGUGAUACCUUGUGAUUUUGAGUUAGGCUUGACCAUAACGAGAGAGUUGGGUUCAGUUAAACUUUGGUAGAUGGAUUUAUCAAUGGCCAUGUAAGAAUUAUAAGUUGAGUCAACGAGUAUGGUGUUUAAGGGGAAAGUUUAGUUGAGAGAAUAUUUUAAAAGUGUGGCUAAGCUUUAAAGUGAGAGGUUGCAUUGCUUGAGGCCUAGUACUUCUAUCCUGACUUAUGAUUCACAGGUCCAUGUUCCAUGCUAUAUUUGGAGCAAUGUUGUAAUUCCUUAUUCUGAGGUCUUGUUCAGAUCAUGCCCAGAGUCCCUUACUCCCUAAUGGCCUUAGAAAUUUCUUAGAAAGGUAUUAAAGAAAUACCCUAUUUAGGGGAGAGCAUCAACAUGAUUUAGUCCAUGCAACCAAAAAUCUAGUUUACAUUUUCCAAUUUAGUCUAAUCUCACUACCUAAAAUUUCAUGAGUAUGACCAUUUCAAGAGAUAGUUUGUUUGCAUCCAAGUAGAUUGCGUAAUUCAGUUCAGUACAUGCAUUAUGCAUCAGUUUCAAAUUCACAUAUUAAGUCAUGCUUCAGUUCGUAAGUAUCCUAUAUAUAAUCUUAGUUUUUUUUAGUAUUUCAACCAAAUUAGUAUCAUUCGGGACGAAUGUUCCCAAGGGGGAGAUAUUGUCAUACCUUGAGAAUUCCAAUAGCUAAUAAAACCAUGAUUCAAACUCAUGAGAAAUAAAUUUUAGUGAUUUGGCAGUUUUAUGAUCAAGUUUGAUGAGUAUUAAGGCCUCAAAUAUGUCCUAGCUAUUAGGCGAAUCAAAACACCCUUACCGAUUGAAUUCUUGAGAAGGAUAUUAUAAUAGUCAACUUCAAACUAGUAUAUAUUUCGUUAUACUAUGAAUUUUUGAGACCAUGACAAACUAAUAGAUAGAUAAUUGAAUUAGUUUUUCAAUGAAAUCAGUUUCGCCAAAAUUCAUUAUCGGGGUAAAAAGUUAUGGCCGUUUUACAGUGAGCUAUCCGAACUACCAAAGUAUGACGGGAAGGCCGACGACCCGUUGCUCCAGCGACGAAACAUUAUUCAAACCAUUGUAACUGAGGCAGUAAGCCCAUUUUCUAGCUAUAAAGUGAUGGUUUGAGGGAUGGUCUAUCCCUGUGGUGAUGGGUCGUCGCCCAAACUAUCCCGCACUUUUGUUUAGCAAUUAAAAGCCGUUUUAAAGGAAUUUUUGGGUUUUUUCCACUCUUUUUAACACCUAAUUACAUCAAAUCAAAGCACAUAACUUCAUAUUCAUCCAUAGCAUCAAAAUUAGGGUUCCUUUCAAGAUCAACCCUCAAGAACAAGGUUUAAACCCUUCUUCAAGAAAACUCAAGAAUAAAAACAUUACCAUUCAAGAAAAUCCUCCAAGAACAUUCUCAAGGCAUCAAAAGUCAACUUAUUCCAUUGAAUCAAGCCAAAUAAGGUAUGUGAGAUUUGAACAAGAAUAAAUCUUUCAUUCUUGUGUUCAAAAACUUGAAUUUUAUUAAAGAUUACAUGAUUUGCAAGUUGGGGUUUAUACCCAAAUUAUCUUGUUUUGAGUUUAUAAAGUUAUAAAUUACUUAAGCCUUGAAUUUCAUACAUAUUUAUGCAAGUAAUGCGAUUUUCAGAUUUUUCAAAUAAGUUUAGGUAGAUAUUGUGAUUCUUGAUUUUAUUAUUUUGAUAUUGUAGAAGUAUUUUCAAGAAGCAUGUUGAGCAUGAAGUUUUGUUGUGAAUUUUUCAUGAGUUUAAAGCAUGAAUUUUAAGCCCAAAGAUUAAGUGUUGAAAUCCUCAAGAUCAUGUUCUAAAAAGUUUUGAUUGUUAAGUCCAUAUCAAGAAUGAGUUUGAGUUUUCAAGAAGGCUAUGAUCUCAAGCUUUCCCUCUAGCAGAUUCUUACCUACAUUUAAAGAAAGUUGAUGUUUUGAUACUAAGCUAAGAUAGGAAUCCAUAUUAUUCUUACAGUUUAUCAUUUAAAGUAAAGAGAAGCAUAAUUGGUUUUCAUUAUGGACCCUUGUGCUAUUUUAAGGUGUAUUUCCUAAAAAGUUUUGAGAAAUAAGUAUGGGAGUAGUAUUUAGCACCGAGUUGGGUAUGAUUCCAAGGUCUCAUGCCCCAAAACUACGUGCCACCGUAGGUUUCUGAUUUGCCCAUAGUGGGCUAAGAUAGUGAUCACUUAAGUUAAGGUUCUAUUCCGAUGGCACCGGUAGAACAUCUCUCCCCAACGUGGGUAAGACGUUGGACUCUAUGUCAGCUUACAUGGUUUAUGUCGGUUAGAAAAAACUCCCAAAGUUCUACAAUCCCUAAGUUUCAAAAGAAGUCCCCUAUUCUCCUUAAGAUGAAUGUAUAUGUUUUGAAAGCUAUUGUUUUAAGAUUUCCCAAGUUCCCAGUGUCUCCAAAUUUUUAUAGUCCUAAAGUUCCCAAGUCCUUCUGUUCCCAAAGUCCUAUCCUCCUCAAGAUAAAAGCAUAAUUUUUGAAAGUUAUUGUUUUAAGAUUCCUUUUUGCUUACAAGCUUCGAGAAUAAGAGGAGAAUACAGAUUUUAGAACUCAGUAUAAUGACUCACAAGAUUUAUGCUACAUGUUUCAUUAUUCAUGAUUUAUGAGAUUUAGAUUUCAGAUUUAUUCAAGCUAUGUGAGUUAUUUAUAUCAGCAUGCAUGGUUUUAUAAAGAGUAAUAAUAUUGUUGACUUAAUGCAUACACCCCUAUAUACUCAGUACAUCCUCAAAGUACUGAUCUACAUGUAUGUCUAUGUGCUACAUUGUCUCAUAAUGCAUGUACAAGAUCUAGUAGGCACAUUCAGACUCAGAUAGUUGCAGAUUCCAGCCAGCAAGGUUAUGAGUCGUCCUACUUCGGGGACUUCAGUUGGAUUUAUUUAUGUCGUGUCUUUUCUUAUUCAUAUGUAUUGAUUAAUGAUAGUUGGAGUAGCCUCCCAAAUAUUUAUAGUUUGUCUAAUAGAGGCUUCACAUAUGUUAGUUAGAGUCCAUAUUAUAAUUUCAGUCCCUCUCUUCAGACUUUAUUAGAAUGUAAAAGUGGUAUCAGUAUUGUUUUUUUUUUUUUUUACAGAUUUCAGCAUUUCUCUUUGUUUCCAUACAGUAAACUCCGUCAUUCAUUCAUAUUUAAUCAGUUGCUUAGUAGUAUGCCAUUAGAAGGGUUAGUUUGGGAUCACUUGUGGUCCUAAGCACCGUGAGACAUCUCGGCACAGAUUUUUGGGGCGUUACACUUAUCAAGAAUCCCUCAAGAAAAGAAAUAAGAAUUACUCUCUCUAUUCUCUCUACUCUUCUUCUUUAUUCUUUAGUUAUGUCAUAACAUGUUAUCAGCACGAGACUCUACCAAACAAGGUGAGAUUAUUAAUCUAAAGGUAAUUUCAAGGUUAGUAAUUUCUUAUGUUAUUUGUCUUUUGCUACUAAAUAAUAUAAUUAUUAUUGGAUUUAAGGAAAAAAGAAUAAUUAGUUUGGAACCAUUUAUAGUUUAAAUUUAUUCCUCAAGAAACUUAUUAUCAAAAGAUUAUGAUAAUAUGUUGGGUUCAAUUUCCAUGAAUUUAUGCCUAAGACACCUUUAUAUGGAUAAGACGUUGAGUUUGAAUCUCAAUGCACCAUAUUGAUGAUAUUAUGAUGGCUAAGGCAAAAUAAUGAGUAUUUGGUGAAACAUGUCUCAUUAAAUAUGCUCUAUUCCUUGAAUUAAAUGUGGUAGCAAUAAAUCAUAUGUAUGUCUCAAUUUGCUUUUGUAGUAGUUAUCAUAAUUUGAUACGCUUAAGACAUGAUUAUAUUUCAUUCCUGGGGAAUGAGAAGCUUAUUAAUACAAACGUGCAUUUUAUUGUGAUGGUAUCACAACUCACCUUCGAAAGAAGCUUAAUAAUUGAGAAAAGUUAUUUUAAAAUCUAUUUUAAAGUAGUAAAUCUAAAAUUUAUUCAUAUAAUAGUAAAUAUAAAAUUUAUUAAAGAAAAAAGUACAUGUCAUGGUAAUCUUGGAGUUUACUAAUAUAAAAGUUCAUAAGUUGACAUGAACUAUUGCGACAUCUCAUAGAUGUGCAUAUUAAGUAUUAAAUACACAUUGAAGAAUUCAAAAAUUCUUCUUGAGCUUUUAAUGCUGCUUGUUCUCAUAAUAAGUUGGUUGGACUAACUAAUUUUGAGAUUGCAUCCCUUAAAAUUCGAAAAGUAUAAAAGGUGAAUAAGGGCCCGUUCACCUAUCAUGUGAUAUCUUGAAAAGAUGCAUCAAUAAGAUGAUCACAUGUACAUUCAUUGUCAACUUGCAGUUUGACAUUCAUAAAGUUGCUUGCUCAAUAAAAUUGAGAUAAGAGCAUAAUUUUUAGAUUGUAUAAUCAAUACAAUUCAUCUUGAUGAUGAUGGUUUGACGUUGAAUGCCUUUGAUAAAUAGCUAAACCAUUACUAAUGAGAACAAAGCUUCAUGUGUUGAUAUGAAAUAUGAUAUGUUGCGUACAAUAGCACUUGUAUGCAUUAGACCAAUAAAUUAUGAUUAUUUUUUUCCUCUCAAUUGGUUCAAAGUCAGGAACCAAUUAUUCCAUCUAAUAGUUAAUGUGCGGUAUACGAUUACUGAAUACAUGAUGCAUAAAGAUGGAUUCCUCAAAGAAUAUAGAGGAUGUAUGUUAGUUUUCCUAACAUAAGGGGGAGAUUAUAAGCACUAUGAAAUAUGUUAGGAAUUAUCACUAGAUCCUCAUUCAAAAGAUAAUUCAAGUCAAAUGCCGAAUGCAUCUCAUAAUUUUGCUGCAAGUGCUCCUAUUUUGUGUUCAUAAAGGACAAAGUCUACAUAUGCAUGAAGCAUGGUAAACUAAUUGGUUCCAAAUGAAAUAAUCCUUAAAAAAUAAAUAGAAAUUAAUCAUAAUAAGAAGGUAAUGCGCUCUUGAAGAGCUUACAACAUAACACUUCAUGAAACCUUAUGAGAGGUUCAGGUACCUAAAAAUAAUGAAGUGAUGAGAUCUCAAAAUGUUGUGUCACACUGUGAACCAAUACGAAAUGAUAUAUCAUCUUUGAUACAAUAUUUACACAAUAUUGUGAGAGAUUACGAGGAUCUAAAUUCUACGUUUAUUUAAGCAUGCUGACGUAGAAACAUUUAUCAAGUGAUAUAAAAUGAUGCAUCUUGGUAAGCAUAAAACUUAUUUGAUUUGCAAUCCAAACACUUAAAGAUGUCACUAAUGAAAUGUUGAAUAUUGUCACUUGAUAAAAUUUACAUGAAAACUUUUAAGGAUUCAAAAUGUUUGAAGCAUAUAAAAGUUUCCGGAAAACUUAUUUAUAAUCCUUAUAAUGUAUAAGCUUAUCGCUUGAAAAUUAUUAAAACUCUUGGAGAGUUUUAAAAAGCAAUAGAUUAUUUUUUGAAAUAAGAAAUAUACCAAAUUUGAUUGGUUAUGAAGUACCAUAUCUUAGGGCAAGUGGUGAAUUAGUAUAUCUUGCAAAUACUACAUGGCCUGAUGUAAAGCCCUACAUUUCGGAUUAGAAUGAAAAUCCGUCAUUCAUAUGCGUAAAUGUUCCAAAAGCCUCGAAUCUUAUGUAAAUUUAGUGUGUUAAUCAAUUAUGUAGUAUGGGAAUCUAUUUGAGCAUGAAUUAAGAUCAUAGAGGUCCCCUAACUCAAGGACAAGUUGAAAGCUUUCCUAUCGUUCAAGUUUUAGUGAGCGUCAAAACUUAGGUCAAAUUCAAUAGACUAUAACUUCUUGUAUAUAUCUAAUUAGAGGACCUAAUAUAUUUCAAAUGAAAUAUCUUUGAAUUAUCUUUCCAAUGAUACCAAUUUUGCCCAAAUCCAAUGUCGAAGCAAAAAGUUAUACCCAUUUAACUACAGCAUGUUAGCCUGGAAAACUGAGUGAUGACAUUCAUGAUAACUUAUCACAAGUGUAACGACUUAUCACAAACGUCGUUAGCCUUAGGCAGAAUCCAGCCCCCAGUGACAAUAUUUUUGAUAAGUUAUCACAAGUGUGAUGACUUAUCACGAAUGUCGUCAGCCUUAGGCAGAAAUCCAUUAAUUCCAGCCCCUCCGUGACGACAUUUAUGAUGACUUAUCACAAGUCAGAGGACUUAUUACAAAUGUCGUCAGCCUUAGAUUUUGAGCAACUGGGAAGCGGUUUAGUAAGGGUAUUUUGGUAUUUUUCCUUCACCUUCCAUGACUUAAAACCCUAUAAGGGACGUAACUUUAUCCUAUUUUUCUUUAGUUAAACAUCUCAAAAACCCUCUCUUACACUUUCAACCACAAGAUUAGGGUUAUUAUUAAAAUCAUUUUUCAAAAGCAAGAUUGAAGCCCUUUUUCCAAGAUAAUGAAAAAUUAAGUUUCCCAAUCCAAGAACUCUCUAGCAACUCAUCAAAGUUUCCUUUCUAAGGUAUGCGUAGUGUACAUCCAUGGAUCCUUUUUAUCCAUGGGGCUCAAGAAUCAUGUUUUAAAUUAUAAAUUGUGAUUUCCUUGUUGUGUUAUGACUAUAUUCAUGUUGAUGAUUGUUGUUUGGAUUCAAGGUUAUAUCUUGAUGUGUUUUUCAUGAAGCAUGUGAGUAGGUUAUUUGAAACUAUGAAUUUUGGAUGGAUUAAGAUUGUCAAAUUGAUAAGUACACCUAUGCAUAAAGUUGUGCAUGUAAGGUGUUUUAUAAAAUGUCAAGAAUGAUAUCAUUCAUGUUUUUAUGACUUAAUAGUGCUUAAAUGACAAGUCCAUGUUCUAUUCCUUAUGUUUCUACAUGAAUUCCAUGUUAUUGAUAGGUGUUGUUGUUAUGAGUUGUUGUGAUAUGGAAUAUCCAUGAUAUUGAGGUAUCUAAGUAUACCCAUGUUAUAUGUAUUCCCUUUCAUGUAUAAGGUGUUGAGAACCAUGUGUAGUAUGAAAUCCUCUACUUAUGGUAUUAUGAAUUAUGGAUGUUAUUCCUAUGAUCAAGAGGUUUAAUGUGUGUCAGUUUCCUUCCUUCGAGUCCUGGGGAUACUUGUACUUAAAAAAUUUAACUGUGUGCCUAGAGUCGAGUCAGUCUCAAGAUAAUCUUAGUCGUUCUAUGAUCAGAAGAACUCAGUCAGUUACAAAAUUCAAAACUCUCAGAAAGUUAUAGAUCUUAAGAAAUCUCAGUAAUCUAAGUAUCGUUAUCAUUUCAGCUUCAAUUCAAUACUCAGCUCAGAUCUUAAUAACAUUCAAGAAAUCAAUUCAGAACUUAGUAUUAUUCAGUCAGAUAAUAGAUUCAGUAGUAUUCCGUCAGAUAAUGGAACCAAGUGAACUCGGUCAAGUAAGAAACUCAGUAACAACUUUAGUUCAGUUCAAGUACAAGUUCUGAGAAUCAGUUCAGAGUCUUUUAGUUGGGAGUAGGAGCUAGCACCGAGUGAGUGCAUGGAUGGCGGCUCCUCGUCAGAGAGGCAGGGUCGUUAGGAGCAGUCCAGCGCAGGAUGUAGGAUUCACCCAUCAGAAAAAGGCUUGUUACCCGUCAGAGAGGCUUGACAAUUAUACUGCCUUAGGCUUGACUUUCUAUAAAGGUCACCCGUCAGAUAGGAUUGACCAGAGAGAUCUUUACCCAUGGCAUAGUAUUGACACUCUGCCAGUUGGGUUUAUAGGUUGGGCACCACCAGUUUAGAUUCAGGGCAUGUCGGUUAAAUGAAAACUCCCACUGUCAAAGUUUUAGUAUCAGUCUUCAGAGUAGAACUCAAAAAUUAGGACUGUCAGAUACAAUCAUUAAUCUCAGUAAGGAACUCAGAUAGUUCCACAGAUUCAUAAACCACCCGCUAAAUAGGCUUGGUCUAACAUAAAGUUAUUCAGUAUCAGUACUUACAGAGGUCACCCUUUUAGAUAGGCUUGAUCUCAGUAUCAAAUUCAGUUUUCUCAAUAUCAGUUCCAGAGAUCACCCGUUAGUUAGGCCUGAUCUCAAGCUUAGUCACUCUUAAUCAUUAUUAGAAGAUUUAGACUGUCAGCUACAGUCAUUCAGUAUAAGUUACAUCAGUUAGGUCGAUCAUCAUAGUUAUAUCAGUCAGAUCAGUCAUCAUAGCUUACAAUGUUAGUAUUUAGUUUUAGGACUGUUAGAUACAGUCAAUCAGACCAGUGCUUCAUAAUUCGAACUGUUAGAAAUAGUUGUUCAUCUAUUCAGUAUCCCAGUAUUAGUAAACUCAUAUUGUCAGCAUUCCGACUCAGUAGUCAGUAUCACCACGAGUUCAGUUAUAGUUACUUAUGCAUGUAUGUAUUCUCAUGUUCAUAUCAGUCAGCAUUGUUCAUGUAUAUAAACCCUUUGCAUUUAGCCUACCUCACUCGAAUACCCAGUACAUUCAAAUGUACUGAUGCAUUUGCACUAUGGUGUUUCAUUUUAUGCCAUAGGUUCAGAGGCAUGAGUUCCAGAGCAGUAGUAGCAUUGCAAAUUUUAGUAGUCAGAGUUAGAAGUGAGUCCUCAUCCUUUGAGGACAUGAUUAUUUCUCUAUCUUCUCAUUUAUCACUUCAUUAGUCGGAGUUAGUUGGGGACAUGUCCCAUCAUCUCCUUAUUCAGAUUAUUCAGACAGUAGAGGCUCUCAGACUAGAUGCAGACUAGAUUCAGACUUCAAUAUUUCAGUUUUGUUUUAGUAUUGUGAUACCUCUUUAUUCAGAUAUUUUUAUUACUCUAAAGAUGUUUAGUAUUGAACCUUAUGGACUUCAAUUCAUGUUUCCGUAUUUAUAUUUAUAUAUUAUACAGUGUAUAGGUACAGAUAUCAGUAUAGGUUAGCUUGUGGUCCUUUAGGGUCGUGAGCACCGUGUAGCGUUCCAGUUCAAAAAAUUGGAGCGUUAUAAACUUAGUAUCAGAGCCUAAGGUUCAAUAGAGUCCUAGGAAGUCUGAAAGCCACAUCUAGUAGAGUCUUGUACAUGGGUGUGUUGCACGCCACAUUUAUGUAUAAGAGGCUAUAAGAUGUUUAUAGGAAUAGUUUCCCUUCUUUCAUGUCUCAGAUCGUGCUAUAGAAAGUUUCUCUAAGAAACUUAUAUAGAUUCUUAUCAUUUUCCAUUCAUGUUAGCUUUACCUUACUCUUAAGGUAGCAUAAGUAGUGAGGCACAGAGUCCUAAAAAUAGAGCUUUCUCAGACCGUCCCCGCAAAUAGUUUGGGAUAGUUUUAUCUAAAGUUGGGCAGAUUAUGUUUCAUGGAGGUUAGUUGUAUAAAAGGUGAAUCAGUAGGCUUGAAAUAAUGUAUACAAGAGUUUAAGUUUAGUAAUUUGAAGUUAUAUGUGUCGUUGAUGUGAGUAUAGCGGUAAUCCUCAUGUAUGAGGAGAAUAUAAGUUUAAGAUAUGUGACAUUUGAAGGCUAGGAUGAGAGUAGCAAGGUUAUUAAAGAUUUGUGGAUAUUUAUGUUAUGAUUUAGAAACUAAGCUUGAAAUCUUUGAAGAAUUUAAGUUGGUGGUCUUUAGACUAAGUCUGAAGGUAUGGAUGUAAGUUAAAAUAUGUGAUAUUAGCAGCCCAUGACACUAGUGGAUGUUAUGUUGAUAUAUAAGUGGCUAGAUAUGUUUUAGAGAUUUAUGUCAGCAGGGUGCCAUUUCUGGUACCAAUAGUGGUCAGCAUCAGAACAGACUUUAUGCACUUAAGGCUUGCCAUGAUCAAGAAAGUUUCCUUAACAUAGAGUUGGGUACGUUAUGAGUCUUUUAUCUUCAUGAUAUGCAUUGUUAGGUCCUUUGCUCCCAUUUGAGCUUAUGUUUUCAGCAUGAGUUAGUCAGUAAAACCAGCAAGUUAGUUUAGCUGUCAGACAGUCAGAUUCGUAUAGUUUGUUUUCUUAUCUUUUCAUCUAUUCAUGCUAUCAGAAAUCUCAGGCAUGUAACUAUUCCAAGAUAGAAUAUUCUAGUAGUUGUGAUCAUAACUCAGUUCAUGCAUCAUGCAUUAGAUUCAGAUCCCAAAUAUUUAGAUAUGAACCAGUUCAUAGGUGCCUUGUGCAUCGUCUUAGUUUUCUCAAGUACUUCAGUAAAGUGAGUGUUCUUAGAGGGACAUAGUGUCCCAAGGGGGAGAUACCCUAUAACUCCCCGAUGUUUUCAAUUCCUAAAACCCAUUCAUUUUUAUUCUUAGAUUCUCAUUACAAGCUUUACAUCAGUUAUCAUUGCAUAGUCAGUCAUGCUUUCAAGAGUCAGUUCAUUCAAGUAUUCAUGCAUUAGAUAUGCAUACUCAGUAGUAGAAGCUCAGCUUAUCAGCGUAUCCAGUUAUGCAUUCAUGAGAACUGCUCAGUCAUGUAUUUCAUGCAUCAGGUAUGCAUGAUCAGUAUAAGAAUUCUAUCAAAUAGUCAUACAUCAGAUAUGCAUGUUCAGUAUGAAUUUUCAGUAUGUUAGUAAUUCUAUCUAUAUAGUCAUGUUUAAAAAAUUCACGUCCUUUAAGUAAGUUUAGUCUAUCAAUAUUCUCAGUCUACAACGUUUUAUUCGGGGUUUAAUGAUUCCAAGGGGGAGAUAAUGUAACACCCCAUAUUUCAAACUAGAAUGAAAAUCCGUCAUUCAUAUGCAUAGAUGUUCCAAAAACCUCGAAUCCUAUGUAAAUUUAGUGUGUUAAUCAAUUAUGUAGUGUGGGAAUCUAUUUGAGCAUGAAUUAAAAUCAUAGAGGUCCCCUAACUCAAGGACAAGUUGAAAGCUUUCCUAUUGUUCAAGUUUUAGUGAGUGUCAAAACUUAGGUCAACUUCAAUCGACCAUAACUCCUUGUAUAUAUAGAAUUAGAAUACCUACUAUAUGUCAAAUGAAAUAUCUUUGAAUUAUCUUUCUAACAAUACCAAUUUCACCCAAAUUUAACAUCGGAAAAAAAAGUUAUACCUAUUUUACUCCAGCAUAUCAUCCUGAAAAACUGAGUGACGACAUUUGUGAUAACUUAUCACAAGUGAGACGACUUAUCACGAAUGUCGUUAGUGUUAGGAAGAAUCCAGCAUUUAGUGACGAUGUUUCUGAUAAGUUAUCACAAGUGUGACGACUUAUCAUGAAUUUCGCCAGCCUUAGGCAGAAAUCCAUCAAUUCCAGCCCCCCGUGAUGGCAUUUGAGAUGACUUAUCAUAAGUCUGAUGACUUAUCACAAAUAUCGACAGCCUUAGAUUUUUAGCAACCGGGAAGUGGUUUAGUAAGGGUAUUUUUAUCUUUUUCCUUCAUCUCCCACUACUUAAAACCCUUAAGGGACAUAACUUUCUCCUAUUUUUCUUUAGUUAAACAUCUCAAAAACCCUCUAUUACACUUUCAACCACAAGAUUAGGGUUUUUAUUAAAAUCAUCUCCCAAAAGCAAGAUUCAAGCCUUUUUUUCCAAGAUAAUCAAGAAUUAAGUUUCCCAAUCCAAGAACUCUCCAGCAACUCAUCAAAGUUUCCUUUCUAAGGUAUGCGUAGUGUUCAUCCAUAGAUCCCUUUCAUCCAUGGAGCUCAAGAAUCAUGUUUUAAAUUAUAAAUUAUGAUUUCCUUAUUGUGUUAUGACUAUAUUCGUGUUGAUGAUUGUUGUUUGGAUUCAAGGUUGUAUCUUGAUGUGUUUUUCAUAAAGCAUGUGAGUAGGUUAGUUAAAACCCAUGAAUUUUGGAUGGAUUAAGAUUGUCAAAUUGAUAAGUACACCUAUGCCCAAAGUUGUGCAUGUAAGGUGUUUGAUAAAAUGCCAAGAAUGACAGAAUCCAUGUAUUUAUAACUUAAUAGUGCUUAAAUGACAAGUCCAUGUUCUAUUCCUUAUGUUUCCACAUGAAUUCCAUGUUAUUGAUGUGUGUUGUUGUUAUGAGUUGUUGUUGUGAUAUAGAAUGUCCAUGAUAUUAAGGUAUGCAAGUAUACCCUGUUAUAUGUAUUCCCUUUCAUGUAUAAGGUGUUGAGAACCAUGUGUAGUAUGAAAUCCCCUACUUAUGGAAUUAUGAAUUGUGGAUGUUAUUCCUAUGAUCAAGAGGUAUCAUGUGUGUCAGUUUCCUUCGAUCGAGUCCUAGGGGUACUUGUACCCAAAAAAUAUAACUGUGUGCCUAGAGCCGAGUCAGUCUCAAGAUAAUCUCAGUUAUGCUAUGAUCAGUAGAACUCAGUCAGUUACAAAAUUCAGAACUCUCAGUCAGUUAUAGAACUUAACAAAUCUCAGUAAUCUAAGUAUCGUUAUCAUUUCAGCUUUAGUUCAGUACUCGGCUCAGAUCUCAUUAGCAUUCAAUAAAUCAAUUUAGAACUUAGUCUCAUUUAGUCAGAUAAUAGAUUUAGUAGUAUUCCGUCAGAUAAUGGAACCAAGUGAACUCAGUCAGCUCAGUCAAGUAAGAAACUCAGUAACAACUUUAGUUUAGUUCAAGUGCAAGUUCUAAGAUCAGUUCAGAGUCUUUCAGUUGGGAGUAGGAGCUAGCACCGAGUGAGUGCAAGGAUGGCGGCUCCCCGUCAGAGAGGCAGGGUCGUUAGAAGAAAUCCUUGAACUCCAAAACUAUGUAGCCAUCACAGGAUGUAGGAGUCACCCGUUAGAAAAAGGCUUGUCACCCGUCAGAGAGGCUUGACUAUUAUACUACCUUAGGCUUGACUUCCUAUGAGGGUCACCUAUCAGAUAGGGUUGACCAGAGAGGUUUUUACCUGUGGAUGGUAUUGACACCCUUCCAGCUGGGGUUAUAGGUUGGACCCUAUAGUUUAGAAUCGGGGUAUGUAGGUUAAGUGAGAACUCCCACAGUAAUAGUUUUAGUAUCAGUCUUCAGAGUAGAACUCAAAAAUUAGGACUGUCACAUACAGUCAUUAAUCUCUGUAAGGAACUCAGAUAGUUCCACAGAUUCAUAGAUCACCAACUAGAUAAGAUUGGUCUAACAUAAAGCUAUUCAGUAUCAUUACUUCAAGAGGUCACCCAUCAGAUAGGCUUGAUCUCAGUCUCAGAUUCAGUUGAGUAUUCUCAAUAUCAGUUUCAGAGAUCACCCGUUAGUUAGGCCUGAUCUCAAGCUUAGUCACUCUUAAUCAUUUUAGAAGAUUUAGACUGUCAGCUACAGUCAUUCAGUAUAAGUUACAUCAGUUAGGUCGAUUAUCACAGUUAUAUCAGUUAGAUCAGUUAUCAUAGCUUACGUUAUCAGUAUUCAGUUUCAGGACUAUUAGACACAGUCAAUCAGACUAGUUCUUCAUAAUUUGAACUGUCAGAAAUAGUCAUUCAUCUAUUCAGUAUCUUAGUAUAAGUAAACUCAUGUUAUCAGCAUUCCAACUCAAUAGUCAGUAUCACCACGAGUUCAAUUAUAGUUACUUAUAUAUGUAUGUAUUCUCACGUUCAUAUCAGUCAGCAUUAUUCAUGUAUAUAAACCCCUUGCAUUUAGCCUACCUCACUCAUAUACCCAGUAUAUUCAGACGUAUUGAUGCAUUCGCGCUAUGGUAUUUUAUUUUAUGCCAUAGGUUCAGAGGCAUGAGUUCCAGAGCAGCAGUAGCAUUGCAGAUUUCAACAGUCAUAGUUAAAAGUGAGUCCUCAUCCUUUGAGGACAUGAUUAUUUAUCUAUCUUCUCAUUGAUUAGUUCAUUAGUCGGAGUUAGUUGGGGACAUGUCCCAUCAUCUCCUUAUUCAGAUUAUUCAGAUAGUAGAGACUUUCAGACUAGAUGCAGACUGGAUUACAGACUAGAUUCAGACUUCAGUAUUUCAGUUUUAUUUUGGUAUUGUGAUACCUUUUUAUUCAAAAAUUUUUAUUACUCGGAUUAUGUUCAGUAUUGAACCUUAUGGCCUUCAGUUCAUAUUUUCGUAUUUAUAUUUAUAUAUUAUACAGUGUAUAGGUACAGAUAUCAGUCAUGGGUUAGCUUGUGGUCCCUCGGGGUCAUGAGCACCGUAUAGUAUUCCGGUUUAGAAAAUUGAGGCGUUACACCUGAUAUAGCCUUUUUAGUCAAUUUGUUAAGCAAGACAUAUUUCUGCUCCUACUAGGAGACAUCAAAAUGGGAUAAAAUACGUGAGUUUAUUUUAUUCUAAAGAUUGUAGUCCCGAUUAUAUUGAUUAUGCUGAUGUUGGGUACUUAUUUGACCCGCAUAAAGCUCAGUCUCAAAAAGGCUAUGUGUUCAUAUGUGGGGGUACUGUCAUAUCUUAGAGAUCUACAAAGCAGUCUAUCGUAGCCACCUUUUAUCAAAUCAUGAUUAGAUAAUAGCUAUUCAUUAAGCUAGCUGAGAAUGUGUAUAGUUGAGGUCCAUGAUACAUGUCAUUCGAGAAAAAUAUGGUUUAAAAUGUGGCAAUGUACUCACAGUUUUAUACAAAGAUAAUGCAUCGUGUAUAACACAUCUUAAUGGAGUAUUCGUAAAAAGAGAUAAAAUGAAGUACACUUCAUCAAAGUUUUUCUACAUACAUGAGCUACAAAGGAAUGAUGAUAUUAACGUGCAACAGAUUCUUUCAAAUGACAAUGUGACUGAUUUAUUCACCAAGUCUUCUCCAAUUGCAACUUUCAAGAAGAGGGUGCAAAAGAUCGGGAUGCAAAAGCUCAAGGAUGUUCUCAUUAGGAGGAGUUAAUACGCGCUGUACUCUUUUUCCCUUAUGAUACUUUGUCCCACUGGGUUUUCCUUGUAAGGUUUUUAAUGAGGCAGCCUAUAUGCAUAUUGUUAGAGAUGUGUACUUUUUUUUCUUCACUAGUUUUUUUUUCACUGGAUUUUUUCUAGUAAGGUUUUAACGAGACACAUUAUCUAUAAAUUAGACAUUCAAGGAGUAGCAUUAUAAAUAUAUUACCAUAUAUAUAGUGAAUGUCUGCUUUACCAUAUAUGAAUAUCAAUUUAUGGAAAAGUUAGAAACUCCAAGGUUAGUUUUCCCUAUAAAUAAAGGGGUUUUACCUUCAUUGUAACUCACUUAUCAAGAAUCCCUCAAGAGAUGAAAUAAGAAUUACUCUCUCUAUUAUCUCUACUCUUCUUCUUUAUUCUUUAGUUAUUUCAUAACAAAAAUAAAUUUAUAUACACGUUUGAAAAAAAAAAGAUAAAUUCCUCUUUGCUGAGGUUUUGGUUUAUUUAAUUUUUGUAAAUAAUCUAUUAAAAAAAUUAAAAUCUAUCAUAUUUAGAUGUUUUUCUUUUGGAUGAAAAGUUUUAGAGUUCAAUAAAAAAAGUUUAAUUUUUUUUUAUUAAUAUCCUUUUUUUAAUCCUCCUUAGAGAUUGAUUGCUCCUUAAGAAGGUCAAUUUUUCAAGCUAUUAUUCUGUAGCGCAUGAUAUAUAAUCUUUUCUUAAAAAAUUUAUUUAGUUCAUCGUUUCUUUUGUUUUAAAAUUUUUAAUAUGAUUUUGAAAGAAUUUCGUAUUGAUCAUCCAAUUCAAUUUCUUUUAGAAAUAAGAGAUUAUGAUUAUUACUGUUUUAAGUUAUUAUGUAUGUUUUCAACAAGAAUUUAUAUGAACUUAACAUUUUUCACUUAAGAAUCAUAUUUACAUUAAACUUCUAUUAAAAUUUUUAAAAAAUGAAGGAUCGUGAUGCUUGAUUUUAAAGACUUAAUAAAUAAUAGAUCUGAAAGAUAGAGUUUUGCCAGAAAUAAAAGUUUAAGUACAAUCAUACUAAUUGUUAACUUAACUUUUGUUAUAAUUUCAUUCAAUAUAAAAUAAUCUUUUUCUAAUAAAUAAUUUAAUUUUAUAGGGUCUAAAUUUUUUUAUCUAUUAUUUUCUUAAUAUUUAAUAUUUUGAAAUUAAUUGAAUUAAAUUAUUAAAUAUUAAUUUUAAAUAAGGAGAGGGUCCACGUGCGAGGCACAUGUGUUUGAACUUCCAAAAUAAAAAGGAGGAAGUAAUUUACAAUAGUUAAGAUAAAAAUAUGAAUGAAUUAUUUUUUAUUAACUGAUACCCUCUGUUGCUUCAAUUAUUUUUACAAUCAAUUUGAUUAUUUUUCAAAAUUAAAUUGAAUUAAAAUAAUAUAAUAUUUUUAAUUUAAAUUUAGAUAUUCAAAAAUUAAAUGAAACAUACUACUUCCUCUGUUAAAAAAAAUUGAUCUAUUUUGACUUUACAUCGAGUUUAAAAAAUAAAAAAAAUUAAAUCUUGUGGUAUUAAAUUAAAGUUAUGUCAAAUGUGUCAGGAUGUUCUUAAAUUUUGUGGUCUUAGACAUGUAGUAUGUAAGUUAGAAUUAAAGUGUUGCCAAAAAAAUUAUUCUUUUUUAAAUGGAUUAAAACGAAAAGUAACUUGUUCUUUUUUAAAUGGAAGGAGUAUAAGUUACAAUCCUUAAACGGAUUAAAAAUAAAAAUUGAUCCUUUUUUAAGAGGAAGGGAUAUACGUUACAAUCCUUCUCAGAUUAAUUUGUGACAAAAUACAUUUAAAAUAUUGGUUAAAGUUCAAAUGAUUUGACUCUUGAGAAAUGAAAUGUGGCAAGUAAAAAAAAAUAAAGAAAUCAAUUUAUAUUGUCAUGUAAAAAUAUAUUUAUAUUUGUUGAGUUAUAUAAGUAUCAAGUAUGUGCAUGUUUAAAUAUUUUUUGAUGUUAUAUAAGUAUUAGGUAGAGAUGGCCCGUGCUCGUUGUAAGAUUUUGCGAGCUUGCGUUACAUAGAUAAGAUAUAUAAUAUGUAUUAUAUAUAUGGUUGGCAAGCAUUUGUUUCCAUUGUGGCUGGAUUGUUUACAUUAAAUAUGUACAUCCUAUACUAAAUAUUAGAUACUUACAUCUGAUGCCAUUCGUGUAGUGCGGUGUUUUGACUUCUCUGUAGUGAGUCAACGCUUGACAAAAAGUACCUGUAGAAAAUUGAAAUAAGAACAAACUUUUAGAGUGUAAAAUAAAGUAGUGUAGUGUAGUAAUAAUUUAUGUUGUACCUGCUGCUAUUCAAAAAGCAGGAAACAGAAGUAUUCGGCAUCAACAUUUGCAACAGUUGAGUAGACAAAAGAGUAGCAUCAACCAUAUUUCAAAAAGAUGGUACAUAUAUCACUACUAAAGAAAGAAAAAAGUGGUACAAUGAGUUAUGUACAGGAUUAGAUGAAUAUCUCACACAUAAUAUAAAACUUUUAUCUAUGGUCAUAGAGUAAGCUAUCGCUAAUCCAUGUAAUCCCAAAGCUUUAGCAGAAUCACAUUUCAAAUGGCAAGUAAACAAGUAGAUAUGGGCAGUUGACACAAAGCUCUCUUCUUUAGCUACUUUGAAUGGCAUACUUGAACUCUAACAUAUGUGUUGGACUAAGGACUAAUUCAUUAUUUUCUGUGGUUAGAAGGAGUUUUAAGGAAAAAAAGGUCACAAGGACCAUUUGAAUUUUAUUCUAUUAUAUUGAUGACACUAAAAGUGAACAAGGCAGACCUAAAAUCAUGUAGUAAAGUUGUCCCAAAUAACCUAUAAUCUCCAGAGUCAAUGUUGACCAACUUAGAAUAGACUAUGUUUUUAUUGGCAGAUUUUUGAUCUUGGGUGUAUUUAUACGCCUAAGCAUCAUAAUUUAUCCAUAUUUUAGCUAUGUUUAGAGAACAAAGUGCCUAGUUUCUUAUGUUUUUACUCUACUUCUAUGUAAUAGAGCUAAUCGAUGUGAUUAGCAUGAUUUAAGGUAUUAAUGAGGUAGAUGAAGACAUUAUGGGAUUAUGGAAUGCGGAUGACAUAUGACACAAGAGAGAGUAGCAACCUGGACCAAAUGUGGCGCCUAGAAACUACAAUCUGGACCAAAUGUGGCGCCUAGAAACUAUGUCCAAGACUAGUUGUCAUUUAUAAUUAGUUCAGGGACCUAGAAUGCAAUUAUGAGAGAAAGGAUUAUUAAAAGGCUUAAUGCUGAAUUUUUAAGCAGGAUUCAUUAUUCUAUAGUUUUUGAAAGGAGAGUGGCGGCUUAGCUUGAGGUCUCUUUUGUUUUCAACAUUCGCACACCAAGAUCGUCUUCUAGUUUUUGGUAUGAUGAAUAUAUUUAUGACUCUUUUCAUUUUAUUCAUGAGUAGCUAAGUUUAUUAGUUAGGGUUAUGGAAGCCUUGUAGCAUACAAUCUAUUACUUUGAGUUUUGAAUUCAUUAUGCAUUGACUUGUUUACAUCCUACUCUCUUCGUUUAUUUUGAAUUCUCGUGGUUGCAAACAUAGAGGGUAUGCCUUAAAAUACAACUUGUUCGAAAGAAAGGUUGAUGUUCGAAAAAGAGAGUAGUGACAAGAAAAUAGGAUUUCCAACCCCUAUUUCAUAUGUUAAUGCCUUAACAGGAUUAACUACUUGGAGAUUUCGUAUUGUUUUUGGUAAAUACUUUUGAUUUGAGAGAACUAAAGUGAAUUAGUCCUUGAUGGUUGAGAAACACUAGGAUUAUGUUAUUAAAUACAAUAUGUUUCUCUGUAAGCAUGAUGCAUGUAUAAAUUCAUAAAACCCAGAGUUAGAAAGUAUUGAACAUUACAAGGUGGACAUAACCCUAGCUUGCUCAUUCCCUGAAUUUGAAUACUACUACACUUAUUUCAUCUUGUUAAACUGAAACCAUUAAUUUGUGAACUGAAUCAAAUCCCCCCUAUUUAUUUUACGAAAACGAACGAUUAAAAGUCAACUAAUCUACAUACAACUUAAUUAGCAUCAUAUUCCCUGUGGGAUUCGACCCCAACCUAGUUGGGUUAUAUAUUGGGCGUAUCAAUUUUCAUAAAGCAACAAUAAAUUAAUGUGUAGUUAAAUAAUCAAUCAUCAAUCAAUCAAAUUAAUAAACAAGUAUGCCAUAGGAAAAAAUGAAUGAUCUAUUUCUCAGAUAAUCAUGCAACGAAUUGUUACAAUCAAGACUCCAAAGCAGAGAAGGGAUGACAAGACGAAUCACUCAAUAUGAUAAAAGGAAUAGGAAUGGUUAGCUGUAUCAAUCAAAUAGGAUAAGAAUGCAAAAACUUUGUCAGUUAACAGUUUGCAACUGUAAAAAAUUCAUCCUAUAAGUGAAAACAGAACUUUAUUUGGCUGAACAUCAUUUUAACUAAUAAGCUGCUUAGACUGAAAACAAGAUGCCAUACUUAAUGAUAUAUUUUUCUUAAUAUUCACAAGUUGUGAAUUUACAGAUGCCAAUAAUGCUACAAGCAAUUUCCAAAUGUCUGAAAAUAGAAAGAAGAGGAUGAAAUGCAUAGAAAGCUCUCAUUAUAGCUCCAAGAGGAUCCCAAUUAUGUUUGAAUGAUUAGAAAGAUAAUAAAAUAUGGGGAUAUCUAUGGAUCAAAACAAAUUUCAUAUGAAUCCUAAUACGAUCUAAUCCUCUUAUUUCUUAGAAGUUUCCGUUUCCUACGAUCUGUAUCGAGAAGGUAAAUGAGCACAUGAGCUUUCACAUUUUAGUCCCUAGUUUCGAAUAUUCUCAUUUAUAUUUUAAAAAAUAAAAGAUCAUGAAUUUACACUACUACAUCAACAUCCUGAUCCAACUUGUUACAUAGACUAUAAGUGUCAUUUUUUAAAACUAAAGACGGUGAGAAUAACUAAAUAGAAUUUAAUCUUAAUAGAUAGCAACUCCAAUAGAAGCAUAUUCAGAGUCAUUCUAUGGAACUGUUAUUUCUUCAAAUUGAUUUAGUGUUAUGACUACCCAAAUAGUCCAUGAAAUAAACAUUUGUGUAAAAUAAAAUUACUUCUAAAUUAGUAGGUAAAGAUGGAUCAAAUAAUAUGUAUGAAUCAUUCUCUUUGUAAAAUAUGAAUAUAAGAAAUAUUUUAAAAGAUAAUUUUAAAAAAAAAAUUAGUCCGUUGAUGGAUAUAGCAACUUCUUGAUGUCCUAGUGUUAACUUGUUGCUUGUGAAGACUGCCCAAAAUGGAGAUACAAAAUGUGAAGAUAGAGAAAGAUGAAGGGUAAAUUACUUCUCCUUAAUUCACUGUUUUAAGUCCUAUGCUUAGGCUAAACAUCUAAAGAUAAUUUGAAGUCAAAUGUUGUUGUUUUCAACUAUUACAAGUUCAACUUGGUGAGCAAACCCUAAAAAGCGUAUAGGCUACUGUGCAGUGAUGUAAAGGUAUAUAUAGUUUAUUGAAAAGAUGAGAGACGUGUAGAGAAGAUAUAUUUCAUUUUUCCUUUGUCAUAAUCUGUUUAAGCUUGUGUUUGCUACUUUCGGGGGUAGCUAUUGUAGUGAUCUACAAUGAUGGAUUAUUAGUGAUAUCUUUGUCGAUGAUUGACAAGAUGAAGAAUUUCGCUGAAGACGUAUUCUAAUUUUUUGCGUACAACCUCUUUACUUAGAGAGUAAGUGUCUUUCCCAACAGUUUGUGUUGCACUGAUGAGUGUUGUGAAAAUUGUUUCCAAAACAUGACAGAAAAUAAUAAAAGAAAACUUUUUUAAGCAUGAACCAAAAAGUUACGGUGUACUAUUUUGUAACUAAUAUUUUACCUUGGUGAAACGUAUGCCAUAAGUUUCUGCUGCGGUGAGAGAUAAUAGCUCUUCUCUAAUUUGAUCUAAAAUUAUUACUGUGCAGAACUAGUAUAAUCUAGAAUGGUAAAUUCAAAUUGACAUAUGUUAUAGUUGUAAAAGUUAAUGCAUGUGAAAAAUAAUUUAAUUCACCAGUUGUAUGUAUAGAUCAUUAUCAAAUCAUAAAUAGAUAUUCGAUAAAAUGAAGAAAUAUAUAUACCUAGGUGUAAGAUAUGUUAAUCGACGAUAAAUUGUGCAAUAAAUUUUUUAUGAGACCAGUUCCUUGAAAAGUGUUGCUUGUAGCUGGAACAGAGUAAGAUGGAAAAUCAUUGAUUUAACAACUGAGUUUGGACAUGAAAUAUUUGGCCCUUGACAUGUGUGUGAAAGGGUAAAUUUUAUUAUAAUUUCAAGUAACAAAGUAAAUUUAGGAGGUAUAUAAUGAAUAUAUUGAAGAUUGUUCAUGGAUUUUGGCAAUAGGUAUGAUGUGUUCUUCAAUUGUAACAAACAGAAGAGAGCUUGUAACUGUUGUGCUUUCUGUUGUGUAUGAGUUAAGCAUGGAUUCUAUUUUUUUCGCUUUGCAUGUAAUUUAAAAUGUUAAACUUUAUUUUUGUGUGAGUAUAUCUAUCCAUAAUAAGAGGUGUAUCUUGAAUAUCAUGUGUUCUAUUCGAUGACCUGUGGAUAUAGAGGAUUGAUAUGGAUUGUUGUACCAAAUCCAUUCACCAAGCCUAUAUGUCAUUGAGUAAUACGUGUUAAUUUGAGUACUAUAUGUUUUAUCAAGGACAUAUUGUAAAUAUGUGUAUCAUUUACCUAAAGCUGAAGAGGAUUUUGGAUUGCCCACUUUUUUGGCAAGGAUUACUGAAAAUUCUUCAAGUUGUUUCACAUGUUUGAAAAGUUUAUAUCCAUACAGGUCUAUGAAUUCCUCCCAGAGGGUCAACUUUGUUGGUUUUUUCCUGUGCAAAUGUUAAAAAUAUAGUUAGUCAAUAAAUAAAAUAUGCGAGUAAAUGAAAAGAAAGAAUUAUACAAUUUACUAAUAGGGUAAGCUAAGUAUGUCAAUGAAUACAUCUAGUUCUUAUUGUUAUAACCUUUACACCUAACUUGUUUUUCAACUUCGAAGAAAAAUUUCCAGUUUUGAAAAGUUGAAAGCAAAAGAGAACUUAUUAAUGAUCGAUGCUAAUGAACUCUUGGAUUCAACUCUCCUUUGUGGCAUAUGAAAGAGGGAUACCAUUUAUGACAAUGAAAAUGAUAUCUUACAACAAAUUAAGAGUUGUUAGUAAGAAUAACUAUUAAAGAGUUGAUAGCUUCUGCUUGAGCUAGAUUCUACUUGAGUUUCCUGUAGAGAAAUUGAUAAAGUUGGUAAAUAAUCAAUGUUGUAUUUUUGACAUUCUCUUCCAGUAAAAAAACAAAGAGAAAUAGCUAUGGUAAGAAGAUUAUAAUGGAAGUGAGGUAUAGGCAAAGUAUGCAGCCAAGAAUAGUGCAACUAAAAGAUCCAUGAACCAUACCAAAAAAUUCAACACUUUGAGAUAUAUAAUCUAUUUUUCUCUUCUGGUGAGAUAUAUAAUCUAUUUUUCUCUUCUAAUUCAUGUCAUAACGUGCUCUAGUAGUUGAGUAACAAUUCCAACACUGUAUAUAUACUAAAUAUUUCUCCAGUCGUCCUUUGGUGUUCUACUGAUCUAUUAUUUUCCUCAAAACUUGUAAAUUUGCAUGCCAUGAUAGCCUGCCCUUUUUUCUACUUCAAAAUAAAGAUCAUUAUCAAACAAGUUCCUAUGUGUUAAUGUAGUAUUUCCUUCAUCUUAAUUUAUGUGGCAGAAUCAGUUUCUAUUAUUUAAGCAUCCCGUUUGGUGUAUUACAAGUCCUGUAUAUAUUAUUAGGGUCUAUUGCAUACACUAACAUCUACUGUGAAGAUGACACAUGUUCCUAGUGAGCUGGUAUCAAACUCGUUUUUUAAAUAUGAUUUUUUAAAAGCUAUUUCUCAACUUAUCAUGAACUUUGCUUUUCUUUUGAUUUUUUCUUCUUUUGUUAUAGUAUUAGUUUCGUUUAGUGUAACAGCCUAGGUACUCAAGUAAUCUAACUUUUUUAGUAGUUACUAAGGAAAUGAAAGAGAAUUACCAUCACAUUUAGUCACUCAAUUAAUCACACAUCAAUCCCAAAGUAGUUCAGAUAUAGCUUUCAUCCUCAUCUCAUUGUAACUAAAAAAUCUAUAGUAAUAAAUUAGUCUUUUUUAUUUUUGUUUGUUUCCUUCAUAAAAUCGCAUAUAUAACUCAAACACUGUAAAGAUCAACAAAAAACUUUGGACUUGCUCAGGAAAAUCAGAUAGCCAAAACUAACAUUAUUGACCUUAAAUGAUCUAGGGAAGCCUUUUGGUCUAAUAUAAUGGAUCCCUAAUAGCUUUGGCAAUAAAUAUUACAUCUAUCUACUUAUGAUAAUCUAGUAUAGUCGGUCCCUAGUAGGUAGUAUCAUAACUAACUCAAAAAUAAAAAUCAAACGGUUGAACUACCUCAAGCCAUCAAAAACACUAUUCAGGUUCAAACUUUCAGUGAAAAAAAUAUUCAAAGAGAUUAGCAGUUAACUACAUUAUUUAUUAUGAAAAGGCAACUACCAUUACCUUAAGCUCCUUAGGAACUUUAUCAAUACUGUCCAUGGUGAGAGGAUUUCUCUCAUUUUCAAUUACUGUUUCUCUAACAAUAUUCAUACAACAAAUAUGAAAGUACUGGAUGUGGAAUAUAUUUAUGAAUCAAAAGGGCCAGAUACUCAACCUUUUAUAUAUAUCUAGGAGUCCCUAUUUUUCUAGCAAAAGAUCUCAGCAAUUGAUUGUGAAAUCCAUGCGAAGAAGCCAAGUGGGAAAGCUAAAUACAGGGGACAAGAAACUUAUCAUAUGCAGGAGGGAUCUAACUGAUUAACUCUGUACUUUUUACAUAUACAUUCUUAUUGAGGUUCUAUGUUUCUACCACUAAGAAAGUUUAUGUAAGAAAUAAAUUCUUAAUCCAAGAGUUUCCUACGGGAUGGAGCAGAACAUACAAAUAAAGAACCACUAAUAGCAUGGAACUCAUCACGACCCAAAUCAGGGUCUGGUUGUGAUGGGUAUCUUAUGUCUCACGUGGAUCGGAGAUCACCCCCUUCACCUAACCAAACCAAACACAACAUCUCCCAAGGUCGUAUGAAUUCUAAACAUGUAAUAAGAUAGCAUGAAACAAACUUAAAAAAAUUCAAACCAUGUGUAUAAUCGAUGAACGGUGACCGGCCAAACAAUCGACCAACAUCACUAAUAUCAAUAGUAAUCCAAUUAAAGUUUUCUAAAAAAAGAACCAAAAUCAGUCUUGAUCCAAACAAGUUCCCAACUCUGAUAGAUGGCAAUGACAAUGAAAAUGAUAAUUUUAAUGAUAAUAAAAGAAACUAUCAAGUCAAAUAUAAGAAUAAAAGAUGGUAAAAUUCCUAAGACUUCUAAGGAAUGGAAGCUAACCACUUCACCAAAACUCAACGAACCAACAAACCGAUCCGACCAACCUAACUCUGUAUAGGAAAAGUAGAAGUAGCUCUAGUACCUGCAUCGCGCAGGGAUACAAUGGCCGGAUAUGGUUAGUGGGGUGAACACUAGCAUGUAACUCAGGUAUAAGGAUAACAUAAUUCCAUGGUUAGUGGGGUGAACACUAGCAUGUAACUCAGGUAUAAGGACUCUCUUAGCAUAGGCUUUCAGCCAUUUCUUCCUAUAGUAAGUGGAAGUCAUAAAUCCUAUCCAUUUUGCUCAAACCCUUUGCACGAGUCAGAAAACAGUCUACUUAUGGCAUCGGAACCACUAAUGCCGCAUCUCUCGGUGAGAAGGAAUCAAGGAAAGAAGAGAAACUUCUUCCUUCUUUGAUCUUCUGCCCCGGAAAUUGGAAACAUAAAAGUAGGCUGUGGGAUUGAUUCUUUUCCUUCUUUCAGGCAAAAUAAGUGUCUGCCAGCGGUCAGAGUGUCAAUUUGUACUCAUGAUUGCACAUCGCAGUCUAAGCGUGCUUGCUUUGCGCACCGGCACAGCUGAAUUCGAAUCCGCUGGCUUAGAUGAGUGGCUCUUGGCUUACUGAGAAGGGCUUUCUGUAACUAAGAAAUGAGAAUUGUUGAUCCAUAUGAUCUCAAGCAACUUUCGUUGAUGAAACUGACAAUUUAACACUUAGAGAUUGAGCUACUCAGUCUUGCUUCCAUGGAUAUCUUAAACAAGUUUGCUUACCCAUCGUUAUCUGGCGGGAAGUGAGCCACCUAGCCUACCUUCUCUCUUUCUCUUAAGCAAUUUCAUGUCACCUUAACUCUGCCCUUGGAAAACUUUUCUCCCUUAAGGUAGCAUUCAUAGUUUUGAGUCAACAAGACUUUGAUUUUCUCCAUCGCCUCUGAAGUUCAGGUCAAAAUCAGAACUGGAAUUUGAAAUCCAGUAGGAAAAAGAAAUGCAGACUUUUUCUUGACUUUUGAAUCUAUUAGAAAGAGAGUCUCUGAAGCCUUUGCUUUCGACCCUACUAGGAUAGGACUUAUAUAUAUAUAUAUCACAUGUCGGGAUAGGAAACAAAGCUUAACAUGUGCUUUAAAACUUUAGCCUAUAUUGUCUAGCUCAAUCGUCAUAAAAUAAGAAGGCACCCAUAGGCUAUAUGGUCCCAACUCUCCCUCAGCUAGUAGGGCCCCAAUACGUGUGGCCACAUGAAUCAGAGGGUAUACACAUGCAUUAUGGAGGACUCAAACUACUUGGCAUAUCAAGGUGAAAUGAGCACCAAAUCAUGUAAAAUAAUGUAGAGGACUCGAACCUCCCGAUCAUAUGGUAAAAAUAAUAAGGGGGCUCGAUCUACCCGAUCAUAUAGACCCCUGCAUUGGCUACAGCAGUUUCCAGUAUUGGUCUCUCGGACCUGUACUUUUACGAUUCAGCUACACAACCCUCAUUAAAGCCCAAUUAAAGUAAUUAUCACACAAUCCCAUUUAUUAAACCACAAUACAUUUUUAUGAAUACAUUAUUAGUAUCGUCAUAGCAACUACACUUGCCAGGUAACAUCAACAUUCCACACCAAUUAUCUUCACUUGGGGAAAUUCCCAACCCCCUUGGUUUAAUUUUUACAUUAUCUUGGGGAAUUACCGAUGUGGCAUGGAAACACGACACUUUCAAUGCUUAAAAGUGUAAAUUUAUACAUGACCUUAGGAUAUUUUGUUGGAUAUGAUGCCCUUUGGUGUGAAUUGUAGGUAAAAUAGGUUUACAAUUGUAUUUGAAUGAAAAGAGAAGAAAAGACCUAGAAAAGACCAACUCUGAUCAGUAUAUGAGUCAGCUCCUAAGUCAUAACCAUUUGAUAUGAUUCAUGAAUUGAAUCAUAUAAAUAACAGAACCAAAAGCAAACCCGAGGAUGUAAGUGUAAGGAAGAUACGAAUCAAGUAUAUUAGUUGUAAGCCAAGAUACAAGUUGUACAAGACAGUCGUAACCAUAAAAAAAUCUAAGCUGACAUCCAGGAGUUGAAGUAGAAAAAGUAUACAAGACGAAAGUCUGAGUAUAACUCAUAUAGGGAUGUCGUAUACAAACUAGUAUGUAAGACUUAGAAAGACUCAAGUCUCACAUGGAUACGAGUGAAGUACAUGAGUCGUACCCUCGGUUAUGACUCGUAUGAAAAAUUCAUAUACUGAACAAAAAGUUAAAUCUUGAAAAGAUCAGACAAUGGAAUCAAUACGAGAGGGUAAGGUACGACUCAUAUUGAGCCUAUACGAGGGAAGAUCGAGUCGUACCGACUGCUGACAUUACUUUACCUUUUCUAUUUUUAUUAGGAUUUUUGGUUAUUUUUGAGAUACUAUAAAUACCUAGGGUUUAUCUUUUAUUAGGUUAUGUUCUAUUACAAAUUCUUACGUACUUUUACAUAUUAUUACAAUUCUAUUACAAUUGUUCUUGAGAUUUUAGGGUUUAUUCAAUUAAAGACUUUGGAGUUUAUUCUUCUUAUUCUUGUGUAAUUGAUUUUAUGUGUUCUUCAAUUAUAAUCAUGGUUUCUUGCACAAAAAUGAGUGGCUAAUCUCCUUAGGUAGGGUUGUAGGAACCUUCGCAGAUUAGCUACAUAGAGGAAGUGUGAGCCUCAAUUGUUCUAGGUUUUUACAUGUAUCUUAAUUUUCUUUACAAUAAUUAAUCUCAAGUGUCGUCCGUACCAUGAGAUAGCCUGUAUUCGCACUCAUCCCCACAAAGGAGUUUGUGAUUAGGAAAAGAAGUUAAGACAGUGAUUUGGGACUUCUACCUCAACCUUUUUGUCCCCACAUCUCAUCUAAUGACUUUAUACUACCCCGAUGAGUAAAUUGCGGUCUUAGCAAGGAAAAAUAAGGAAACACCCCUAGACUUACCUAAUAAAGGGUGAAAUUUAUUUUCAAGCUUACCCGAUAGUUGAUAAGACUUAUCUUGUAGACUUUGCAUGUAGAGCAAUAGAACAGUUGGGUUGAUCACGAGAAAUUUAUAGAGUUGAGAAUCCAGGGGGGGCACAAACCUAGUGUUCAUCUCAUAUUGUUUACAGCUCAAAAUCACUUAAGACUUGGUUACUAUUUGUGAUUGAUUACAAAAUCAUGCCAUUUACUUUUCUGUACUGCUCAUGGAUUACAUCAAGGCAAGCAACUGUUCACGUUUUCCCUAUGGGAUCGAUCCCAACCUAGUUGGGUUAUUAUAUUUGUAAUUGACUGUAUUAUACUUCUAAUUGGAGUGUAGUUUUGGUCGACAUCAGUUACACAACUCCAUAAGGUUCCAUUCAAUAUCAUAAUGCAAUAGUUCAAGAAUAGUUCAAUUCCCACAGUUCUCAUAAUUCAAACUAAUUUCAUAAUAUGGGAUUGGGGUCAUAACCACUUCAAAAGUCACAAGUUUGGGAAAUCAUAAUCCCUAGUUCAUUCACUAUUCCCAUGCAUCAAAUUAACUUUAAAACCAAUAUUUAAACCUAAACCAUGCAGGGACAAAUAUGAAAUAUCUCAUAAAUAAUAGUUAUAAAAAACCCAUAACCCAUGUUCUUAAAACCACCUUUAUACCAUAAGAAAAAUACUUUAAAACUUAUGUUUUUAGCAAUUUUAUAAUUCAGAAAGAGUAACAUGCCUGAAAUACCAAGUUUAGCAGAAGGAUUUCAACCCUUUAGCCCUUGGAUGACCACUUCUUAGAAACCUUAAGUAUGUCUGCUUGAGAAAAUUUGAGAAAACUUUUGAAGUGUCUUAGUACGUUAAGAAUAAAAUAUCAACCCCUUAAGUGCUCUGUGGAAGUGGGGUUUUAAUUGGGUAAGGAGAAAAUUUUCCAAAGUGCCCAUAAAUUAAAAGCUAAAAUUUAGUCAUCAAUGUCUGUCGGUCACCAUACCGCUCGUUUAGACUCAUCACAACUCAUCAUACUGAGUUGUAGCCAAGAAAUUUCUCAGGACACCCAUACACUGUUGACCUUACGAAUAAACGGUUCCACUCGUUAUGGGACCCUACGACUCAUAAGUCCAGUCGUAGUCAACAUAGAUCCCAAUUGGGUAAACACUGGACACCCUACGAUUUGCACCCAAUGACUCGUAAAAAGUCCUUAUAACUCAUAGUGAGACAUUCGUACUCAGAGCAAAAAUUUGCCACAUACUUAUUAAUUUGGUUACGAUUGGGUCCUCAAGACCCGUCAAGUCUCCAUGCAACUCAUGUCCCCAAUUUGUACUCAGGACAGUAACUCAAGCACCAUUUGUUGGACAUUUUACGACUUAGGUCACUUGACCUAUCAAGACACCCUACGACUCGUAAGGUGAGUUUUAGCCAAGACAAUAAGGAUAAAAUUUCAAAAAACUUCUAAGGACCAAAAACUCAGGGCAUUACAUACUCCUCCCCUUAGGAUCAUUAGUCCUCAAAUAACAGGACAAGGCAUUUAUUAGCAUGAUUUGACUUCACACGCAAUCACACUUGCACCUAACAAUCACUAGUACUAUGAUCUAAUUGUUGAAUCUGAAGGGUGUAUUUUUGGGUGCAGCUAAGGAUGAUGCAAACAUGCACCCUAUAAAUUUUCUUAGGAUCAGCAUAAAUUAUAAUAUUCCAUGGGUUAAUUAGGAAGCAUUGAGAUUGAGGUUGUUUCCAUUUUCUUUGACUGGUGAAACAUUACUAUGGAUAGGGGAACUUCCAAGAGGAUCUAUCACUACUUGGAAUGAGUUGAAGACAGAGUUUCUAAGCAGAUUCUUCCCUCCUACAUAGAUUUUAUAGUUGAAGGAUGAAAUUUACAACUUCAGACAGCUACCUGCAGAGUCUAUGUAUAAGGCAUGGUUUUUAUUCAAGAAAAAACUGAGCUUGGUACCAAAUCAUAGAAUCAGAGGAUCUAACUUGUCUGAGUUCUUCUAUCGAUCAUUGAUUGAUAGUUUAAGAGCUAUGAUAGAUACUAUUUUAGGAGAAGAAUUUAUGCAUCUUCAUUGGAAAGCUACACAUAAAAUACUAGAUGAUAUUGCGGUUACCAACAGAGGAUGACAUACUCAAGAUUCAGAAUGUGAUGGUGGUACAUAUUCUAUUAGAGAAAAAAAUACUUAUGGAGCAGCUAAUGACAUAGUUGUAAAGAGGUUGCACAACUUUAUAUAUAUAUUAGGCUGCUUAUGAAAUAAUUUACAUCUACGAGUGAUGAGAAAGUGAAUGUAGUUGUGGCACAGGGGUCUACUUCCAAACCAUUUGAGAUCAAAUCUGAAGAAGAGGCAAAGUAUUUUUAUUGUAGAUUGGUGGAUUUCUGAGCCCAAGGGCAAGGGAAUCAAGGUAGAAACUAUUAUAAUGAAAGAUACGAAGAUAGGAGUAGAGACAAAAAUGGUGAUUGGUGGCAUAAAGAUGACUAUAAAGAGAAGAAUGACAAAUAUAUUCCACCAAGUUAUCGAGUUAUAGAGUCCAGAAUGGAGGACCUUUUGUCUAAGCUGGUAAAAGGGAAAAAAGUCAAGGGAACUGCCUGAAGGAUAUCAAAGCUGAUCUAUCAGGAUUGAACUAGAAAAUGGAGUCACAUGCGACAACAAUCAAGUAGUUGGAGAUACAAUAUGGUUAGAUAUCAGCCACAGUAAAUCAGAGACACCUUGGUACACUUUCGAGCAAUACAACAGUAAAUCCCAGAAAUAAUAGCCAAUGCCAUGUCAUUACUACUCAGAGUAGUAAGGUUACUUCAGACCCACUUGUACCCACAACUGAUGAGCAAAAGAGUAAGGAUGAGCUGGUUCAUAUUAAGAGUAGUAGAAAGCAGAAUAGAGGAGAAGGUUAUAGAGCUUGUGCUAACGCCCAUUCCAAGACCUCUUUCUCACUAUCUACAAAGAUUGAGAAAGAAACAAGAAGAAGGUAAGUAUUAAAAUUUUUUAUCUAUAUUAAAAGAGUUAUCUGUCAACAUACCGCUUAUAGAGACAUUGGAGCAGAUGCCAGGAUAUGCAAAAUUCAUGAAGGAUUUGAUCAUCAAUAACAGUUCAGCUAGUUAUGAGACAUUGAACAAUAUUCAUCAUUACAGUGUUGUAGUUACUAGAUCUUUGGUAGAAAAGAAGGAGGACCCUGGCUCUUUCACAAUACCUUGUACUAUUAGUUCUUUUAACUUCAAUUGAGCAUUAUGUGACUUAGGGGCUAGCAUCAACCUCAUUCCCUUUUCCAUAUUCAAAUAGUUAGGGUUGGGUGAUCCCAAACCAACUACCAUGAGACUAGUGAUGGCUGACAGAACAGUGAAGAAGCCUGCUAGUAUCCUUUAUUAUGUUUCGGUAAAAAUGACUUAUUUUAUAUUUCCUGUUGAUUUUGUUAUAUUAGAUUGUGAGGUGGACUUUUAGGUAUUAAUAUUUUAGGAUGACCAUUUUUGGCUUCAGGUAGGAUGAUUAUUGAUCUAGAGAAAGGACAUCUAAUACUGCGACUCAAUAAUGAACAAGUGACAUUCAACGUAAACCUGAUAGAUUGAGAGUGGUAUUUGUGAUAGAUGUAGUUAAUGAGGAGACAAAUUCAUUCUAUAAUGUUGAUGUAGUUAAUAUGUGGGAUGAUGGUUUUGAUGCGGUUGUUCCUGUUGAAGAAAGACUAGGUAUCGAAGCUCUGGCAGCUGUGAACAUGAAUUUUGAUUCUGAUGGUAUCGAGAAGUAUGAGGAUCUAGUAAGUACACUACAUGGAAAUGGUUAUAACUUUGCACCAAAGAAGCUUGAUUUGGACUUGAAGAAUCUCGCUACUCCACCUACUUGGCUAUCCAUUGAAGAACCACCGGUGUUAGAGUUGAAGGCCCUCCUAUCUCACUUGUGAUAUGUAUUUUUGGGGGCCAACAACACUUUGCUAGUUAUUAUUGCAACUGACCUGACACAGUCAGAAGUAGAAGAACUAUUAUCGAUUUUGCAGAAUUUCAAGAGGGCCAUUGGAUGGUCCAUUACAGAUAUUAUGGGUAUUUCACUUAUUUUGUGUACUCCUAAAAUACAAGUUGAACUGGAUUAUGUUCCAUCUAUUGAACAUCAGCGUUGACUCAAUCCUCCUAUGCAGGAGGUGGUAAAGAAAGAAAUCAUCAAGUGGUUGGGUUUUGGUGUAGUGUAUCCCAUUACUGAUAACAAGUGGGUCAGCCUUGUAUAAUGCAUCUAAAAAAAGGUGGAAUUACUAUGGUGCCUAACGAGAAGAAUGAGCUAGUGCCUAUAAGGCCAGUUACUGGAUGGAGAGUGUGCAUGGAUUACCAAAAAUUGAAUGCAUGGACUCAAAAGGGCCAUUUUCCUAUGCCUUUCAUGGAUCAGAUGCUAGAUAGGUUAGAAGGUAGAGGAUGGUAUUGUUUUCUUGAUGGGUAUUCAGGCUAUAAUCAGAUCAUUAUUGCACCUGAGCACCAAGAGAAGACUACUUUUACAUGUCCUUAUAGAACCUUUGCAUUCAAGUGCAUGCUAUUCGGGCUAUGUAAUGCUCUAGCCAUAUUUCAAAGAUGUAUGAUGUCUAUUUUAUUUGAUAUGGUCGAAGACAUCAUAGAAGUUCUUAUGAAUGAUUUUUAGUUGUUGGUGAUUCUAUUGAAGAUUGCCUAAGGAACUUGGCAAAUUCUCUACAAUAGUGUAAAGAAUGUAACCUGGUGCUUAAUUGGGAAAAGUGUCAUUUUAUUGUCAAAGAGGAGAUUAUGCUUGGCCACAAGAUUUUAAAGAGAGGAAAUGAGGUUGAUCGAGAGAAUAUUAAGGUGAUUGAAAAAUUACCUUACUCAAUUUUUGUGAAGGAAAUUCAGAGUUUUCUAGGGCAUAUAGGUUUUUAUAGGCGAUUCAUCAAAAACUUCUUGAAGAUUGCUAGUCCUCUUUGCAAACUUCUUGAGAAGGAGGUAAAAUUUGAUUUUGUUGAUGCAUUUUAGAAGGCUUUUGAAGGCCUAAAAGAGAAGUUGGUGACUGCUCUAAUCAUUGUGUCUUUCGAUUGGAUUUCACCUUUUAAGAUUAUGUGUGACGCUAGUGGAUUAGCCUUAGGGGCUAUACCAGGUCAACGGAAAGAAAAGAUCAUUCAUCCCAUCUACUAUGCUAGUAAUGCACUAAAUCUUUCUCAAAAGAACUAUAUCAUGAUGAAGCAAGAGUUAUUGGAAGUGGUUUUUGCCUUUGAAAAGUAUAUAUCUUAUUUUAUUAGGACCAAGCGAAUUGUUCAUAAUGAUCGUGCAGCACUGUGAUACCUAAUGGAUAAAAAAGAUGCAAAGCCUCGGCUUAUUUGGUGGGUACUUUUGUUGCAAGAAUUUAACUUUGAGGUGAAGGACAUAAAAGGUAUGAAAAAUCAAAUUACAGAUCACUUGUCUAGACUAGAACAGAAAGCUAUGCAGAAGGUUGCUAUUGGGUUGGAGAUUGAUGAUAGUUUUCCAGAUGAGUAGAUAUUAGCAGCUUCCUAAGAUCUAAUCCUAUGGUUUGCAGAUUAUGGAAAUUACUUAGCCAGUGAUCUAGGUCCAGAAGAUCUUUUAUAUGAGAAAAAGAAGAAGUUCAUGCAUUAGGUACAAAAAUUUUUCUGGGAUGAACCUUACUUAUUUAAAAAUUAUGCAGAUGGAAUCAUUUAUAAAUGCAUACCUAAGGUGGAGAUGAUGAGCAUACUUAAAUCAUAUUAUUCAUUGCCAGUUGGAGGUCAUCAUGGAGGGGCCCGUACAACUCACAAAAUCUUACAAUGUGGAUACUAUUAGACAACAAUAUAUAGAGGUUUUCAUGAUUUCACGUCUGCUUGUGAUUAAUGCCAACAACAAGGUACUAUCUCUAGAAGACAUGAACAACCUAUGACUCCUAUUCUAGAAUUGAAAGUGUUGGAUAUAUAGGGCAUAAAUUUCAUGGGAACUUUUGUGAGUUCGUAUGGAAUAAAGUAUAUACUUGUUGAUGUAGACUAUGUGUCAAAUGGAUGGAAGCAAUUGCGCUUCCUAACAAUGAAGCUCGUAGUGUCACUUUUUUUUUGAGAAAGAAUAUCUUUUCUCGAUUUGGUAUUCCACGUGCUAUUAUUAAUGAUGGAGGGUCAUAUUUUUGCAACUACCUAUUCAAAAUACUGUUUGAAAAUAUGGAGUGAACCAUAGGGUGGCAACACCCUAUUAUCUAUAGACUAGUGGAGAGGUUGAAGUAUCUAAUAAAGAAAUCAAGUCCAUAUUGGCAAAGACUAUCAAUGCUAAUAGGACUAACUAGGCAAGAAAGUUAGGUGAUGCACUGUGGGCUUACCACACAGCUUAUAAAAACCCCAUAGGUGCUUCACCUCACCAGCUUGUGUAUGGAAAAUCUUUCCAUUUAUCAAUUGAACUUGAACAUAAAGCACUAUGGGCGUUAAAGAAGCUGAAUCUAAAAUGGAAGGAUGAAAAAAAGUCAAGGCUGAAUAGCAUCAAUGAGUUGGAUGAAUUCCAGCUUCGGGCUUUUGAUAGUUCAGUAUUUUACAAAGAGAAGAUGAAGUUGCAUCAUGAUCGAAAGAUUGAGAAAAGGGUAUUUGAAAAUGGUGAUCGUGUGCUACCUUACAAUUCCAAGCUACAUUUAUUUCUAGGUAAGUUAAGGUCGAGGUGACAUGGUCCAUUCAUAGUAACAAGAGUUUUUCCCUAUGGUGCUUUAGAACUACAAAGGGAUGGUGAUCGCCUAUUUAAGGUAAACAGAAAAAAAGUAAAGCACUGUAUGGGAAAUAUAAAAGAGGUGAAAGAAGUAGAUGAUAUUGACCUCGAUGAAGUCUGAGUAAUCAAUGCAACUGCGUGAUGCCGCAACGUUAAAUCAAGCGUUGUUUGGGAGGCAACCCAUGUUUUUGUACUUAUUUCAUUUAUAGGGUACUAUAUUUGUUCAAUGCGUAGGAAUAAGGAUUACAAACAAAAUCUAGAGAAGGUGAAAAAGUAAUCAUAUGGACUCUUUACGAGUCGUAUCUAUACGGUACAACUCGUGAAUAUGAGUCAUAUUGUCCUGAGAGAAAAAUUUGAAUUAGACAUUAGUUUCUAGAAUGAAUACGAUUCUCAAUACGAGUUGUAUUCUCUAGGUACGGUUCAUGAAUGGGAAUCAUAUCCACUCCAGAACACAGGUAAGUUCCAGGGCAAUACUAGUAAAAAAAUAACCUGUAAGCCGGGGUACGAGUCGUAUAAACCACUCGUACCCAAGCUUACUAGGUCAAUUCUUGAGAUGACCUGGUCCAAGACUCAAAUAAAAGAGAAGAGGGUACACGAUAGUGCACCCAAGUACACUAAUCAUAACUAUCUUAUUUCUCACCCAAAUCACAAGUUUCGAUCCACCAAAUCAAAGUGUUUUCAACUAUUUUUAACUACCAACACUUUGAAUCUUUAAAUUUUUGCAAUUUGAACUCGAAUUUGAGAGCAAAAUCUAAAACUCAACAUCUCCAACUUCAAAAUCUUUCAAGUAAGUUCCAAAACUUCUUUUUGUUCUGCUUUGCUAGUUGAAAUAAAGUAGUAUUCAUUGUUUUGAAGUGGGUUGAGUAGAAUAUAUAUAAUUAUAGACAUUGUUGGUACCCUAGCUUAGUUAUUUUUGUUCAAAAUUAGAAAUGGGGAUAGAACUAGGGUUUGAAAAUGAAUUUGAGUUAUUUGUGUUGGUUACAAUGAUGUAAAUAGCUGAAUAUAGUAGUGGAUACUUUGAGCGUUCUAUUGGAGUUAAACUUUAAAGUUGGACUUCUAUGUUGCAAUGGAUAUGAGACAUCUUACGACUCGUACCAACUGGUACGGGAGUCAUAAUGGGACUAGUACCCACUAACAACAUAGAAGUUUAACAAAUUUCAAGUUGUACGGAAUGGAUAUGAAUCAACCAUAUGAGUCGUAUCCACUCCAUACAACUCGUAGACACUAAUCGUACCUACUUGGGAAGAAUUAAAAUAGAAUAAAAGCUUCUAACUAUCUUACGACUGUUGGCCAUGAGUCGUGCCUAUCUGGUAAAACUGGGAAGGAAGAGUCUUAAGCUAACCAGUAAACCAAGGUCAUGCACUGUAUAAGAUAUGACUCAAUUAUAUGAGUUGUACCCAGUGGGUACGACUAGUACCCAUCACUCAUACCUAAUCCAUACAAAGUACAUUGAACCAUAGUUUUAGAUUUUUCUUUUCUUUUCUUUACUUAGUUACUCAUAAUUGUGUACUUAUAGGAAUCAUGCCUCCAAAGAACUUUUCUCUUCUAAACAAGUGGCUAAGAUAGUGACCAAGAAACCACCUAUUGAAAGUGAGGAUACCAGUGCAUUCGAGUAUGAAUCUAUAUCUAAAAGUAGUAGAUAAAAGUGUGAUGGAACUUCAUCAAAUAAAGCUGCACCAAAGGGAAAGACAGCGGCUAAAGCUAAGGGGAAGAAGUGAUUCCCCAAGAGUCUGAGUCACCACCAUUAAGGGGACCAAGGAGAAAAAAUAUUACAGUAUCUUAUUUACAUACACCACAACCGGCUGAUGACGACGAUGAGGAUGAAGUAGAAUUUAGCUCAAUAAAGGCUACAUCAAAAAAAACUUACGGUCUCGAGGAGGUUGAUGCUAUACCUAUAGACAGACAUGAUCCACCUCUCGUAUUAACCACUACUCUGGUUCCCAUCAUUGAAUUAUGGGUAUACCCCGACAUGCAGGAUAUGUGCAACAUGGGGAUGUUUUAUCUUCUGGGUGGCAAAAUAAAGAGAGUCCUGUAUCCGAAAAGAAGAAUGACCAAUAUGGGGAUGUCUGAAUUACCCGACUUUGAAAAACACUUAAGGAUUUCUGAGUCACCACCAUUAAGGUUCUGGGUGGCAAAAUAAAGAGAGUCCUGUAUCCGAAAAGAAGAAUGACUAAUAUGGGGAUGUCUGAAUUACUCGACUUUGAAGAACACUUAAGGAUUUAUGGAUUUGGGUGGAUGAUAAGAGCGCUCAGAAGAUAUAGUGAGGUUCUAGUUCAUGAGUUAUACAAAGCCUACAAGGGUAAGCUACAGAGGCAAUACCCACAAGGCUAACUGUGAAAGGGUGGUGAGCCUAUCACCUCCCUCAUGAUUCAAGGUAUGUGAGUUAAUAACUUUCUCUAAAUUAUAAAGAUAUUUUUUUAUGGGCCAAAUUUUCAUCCAACACAACAGAGAUAGACUAUAGGAUGGCUGAGAUGAGAAAGAUCACAAAGCGGACACUAGGUUCCGAAGGCAAAAUAGUGAUUCUUAGAUAGAUGGUGAAGUAGAUAGCUUUGAAUGGUGUGCCAGCUACUUAGUUUAAAAGAGGUAUCAGAGAUUCAAAAUAAAUAAAGAAGGGUAAGGCUUAGUGGACACUAGCUCGACAUCGGUUGUGUCCUAUUACAGGAGAUGAUGUUCUGAGCCUGGUCUGGGUUGCUAUGAUAGCUGGCUUCACAUCCGGGUAGACGUUUGAUAUUGGUAUGUUCUUGGCCUGAGUAUUGAGAGAUAGGGCAGUUGGGGGUUAUUGGCUUACCCCUGCUUGAUUACACAGAUUUGUUUAGCUACCGGAGUGUUGGUGCUCCCUGGUAUUGAUAAGAUGAUUAAGGCUAGGAGAAUGUUUGAUAUUAGGAUGAUUAGAGAUGUGCCUAACCCUUUGGCCCGACCUAUGAGGAUGGCAGCAGAUGUUAUGUCAGGAUAAUUUUUGCAAGAUAAUAAAAAAGACUCCCCUGCUACAACUGAGGCUACUGAGGCAGGAGCAAAGAUUGUGUAUGUAUACACAGAUGCAACGAGUACUUCUAGUGCCCCACAACUAGUCCAUUCUAUGCCACUGAGGCUACGAGGUAUGCCUCCAGGUAUUAUGAUGUUAUCCUAGGCUACAUGGAUAGAGGUUAUGACCUAAUUGGAUACGCUGAAUGCAAAAGUUGGUCACAUGAAAUAAGAAGUAAAGAGAUGGAUUAAUAGGUAGUUUAAGGAGCAGUAUAGGUGAGUCCAAAAGUUCCUAGAUGCAGUUAAGUCGAGGAUUACUCGACAACUAGGUUGAGGGGAGACGCCAAUAUUGCCGAUGUCAGAUUUGAGAUUGCUGAUAUCAAGAAGAUAGUUGCAAAAAUUUAUGAGAGGCCGAUGGUUGCAGAGCUAGUAUUCGAGACUGUGAUUCCUAUAGUCAAGGUGCCUAACAUUUGGGCUAACCCAACCGACAUAGGUUAAGGAGACCAAAGAGCAGAGGCAUAAGAGAAAAUGAAAGGGUAAGAAAGAAAAAAAGGCUGAGAAGACAACUUGAUAUGAUAGUGUUUAGGAUGAUUAGGACCGGAUACACGGGUUCAUGAGAUAGCCAGCUCUAAUUGAUGAUAUUUAGGAGGCUGAUAUUGUUGUGCCCCAUUACUAUUGAUGCAGUCUCAGCUGAUGGGAUGGUAGCUGAUGAGAGUGGGACUUAAUUUAGGACCCACAUGCUGAUGUUGAUGUGUCGGCGCCUUGAGCGCCUGAGUAUGACCUUUAUCCCUUAAUUUAUUUAUUUUUAUAGCACUGGGGACAGUGCAAUAAUCUUAAGUUGGGGGUGGGGGUUAUUCCAAAAAAUCUGGGAGUAGCUACAGAAUAUGCGUAGUUAAGACUGAAAGUCUGUUAUGACUUAUAGGUUUGAUGCAGACAGCUGAGAUAUGGAGUGGAUCAGCAUACCUAUAGUAGUGGAUAUUUUUGUUAUUGAUUAUGAUAUUAUGAUUUUUGGAGGAUUUUGAAAUUUUUAGUUGUAUUGAAAGAUUUUGAUUCUAUUUUGAUUUUUAUAUGGUGAUUAUUGAAACACUAUGAAUUUUUGAAAUGCUAUUGUAAAAAGUGGUGUUGACAUUGGGUUGAAAUUAUGUUGAAAAAAAGUUGAGUCCCUUCAAAAUUUUGGUUUAAUUGCAUGAUUGGUAUACUUGUGGAAAACUGUUGUGAAUCGGAUAAUGGCAUUAAGAUUAGGGAUAGAACAAUUAGGGACAAAACUGUUGCAUAGUUGGAUAACUAGUACCUAGUAAUGUAGGCCUGUGCAAAUAUGUGUGAGAUUUACUGAGUUCUCGGUUGUGUUGGAAUCUAGAACUUGCCUAGUUGCUUUUACCUAGGUCUAGGAUAGUUAGGUAGGAGGUGAUCAUAGGCCCUUUUUGUAUGAGUCCACUUGAGCAAAAAAUGCCCUAACCAAAUUAAUAAAUCCCUUUAAUCCAAAUAUUUGAACCUUAAUAAACUAAUUUUUUUGCAAAACACCUGUCACCUUCCUAUUUAAACUUAUAAUGAACUUGAUGUGGUCCUGGUCCUCUUGUGGAUACUGUGCAACUUAACUCAGAAAAAUUGCCUAAGUUGAAGUAGCUAUGUUAGGGGUGUGUUAGAGGAAAAUGAGAAUGAAGAAAGUUGGAAUAAAAUAAGAUAGUUGAAAGAUGAGCAGGUGCGUGAAAAUAAAAUUGUAUUGAAAAGCAAUAGAAAAGAAUAAGAAAAAUAAGUGCUAAGAGAACCACACCUGACCCAUUUAGAAUGUGCUUAAAAGAAAAAGGGAGACAUAAGGGUGAAAACAAGGGAAAAAGUGAAAAAUAUAUAGACCCCAAGAAAAGCUUUGUGUCCAGGAGGCUUAGUCAUUAAAUGAAUCUCAAAUAAUAUCAUACCAGCCCAAAGCCUACGUUACAAGCCAAGUAAAGUCAUAUAGUGAUAUCACCAUGACUGUUUGAGAAUUUAAGAAAAAAGCAUAUGGGAAAGCCUAUGGCGUUCUGUGCACACGGGGAUACAUUUUUGUGAGUAAAACGGUCAUUUGUUAUGUCCCUUAAUAGAUUGAUUUGUCCAACAGAAGAGUGAAUGGGAUUUCUUUGAUUGUGAGCGCACAUGGUUUAUGUUGCUAAAUUACUAUAUUGUUUGACUAAUGUAAAUUAUGUCUAUGCCCAAGUGUCUAUUGGUAAUGUAAUGCCAUCAUCGGAUUCCUUUAUGUUUCUACAUGUGCUAAAUUGUUGUACGCAACUGAGUUUUAAAAGUUGGAAUUAGGAGGGGGAUAACAUGAUUUAAAUUUAAUUCAAAAUCACUUCCAUGGGUAGCUUAAGAUCUUCUUAUUUAAGCAUCGCCUUCGUGCUAGAAAGUAGUAAUUUGGUUUUGUUUGCCUGAGGACUUGCAAAAGUCUAAGUUGAGGGUGUUGAAGUAGCGUGGAAACAUGACACUUUUGAUGCUUAAAACCAUGAAUUUAUGCGUGAAUUAGAAUAUUUUGAUAGAUAUGAUGGACUUUGGUGUGAAUUGCAGGUAAAACAGGUUUACAAUAGUAUUUGAAUGAAAACAGAAGAAAAAGAUCUGAAAGAGACCAACUUUGAUCAGUAUACGAGUCAGCUCCUGAGUCGUAACCAUUCAAUAUAAUUCAUAUACUGAAUCUUAUAAGUAACAAAACCAAAACCCAACCUGAGGAUCUAAGUAUGAGGAAGAUACGACUUAGGUAUACCAGUCGUAAGCCAGGAUACGAGUCGUACAAGACAGUCGUAAGCAUAACAAGAUCUAAUCUGCCAUCCAGGAAGUGUCAAAAGUAUACAAGAGGAAAGUCUGAGUACGACUCGUAUAAGGAUUUUGUGUAGAAACCAGUGUUCAAGACUUGGAAAGAUUAAAGUCUCAGGCGGAUACGAGUGAAGGACAUGAGUCAUGCACUCGGUUAUGAAUCGUAUGAAAAAUUCGUAUGCUGAAUAGAAAGUUGAAGACUUGGGAAGAUCGGACACUGAAAUAGAUACUAAAAGGCAGGGUACGACUCGUAUUGAGCCGAUAAGAGUGAAGAUCGAGUCGUACGAACUGCCAAUAUUACUUUACCUUUCAUGUUUUUAUUAGGUUUUUUGGUUAUUUUUGAGAUACUAUAAAUACCCUAGGAUUUAUCUUUUCUUAGGUUACGUUAUAUUACACAUUAUUACGUACUUUUACACAUUAUUGAAAUUCUAUUACAAUUGUUCUUGAGAUUUUAGGUU
rnacentral:lncRNA from 1 species